rnacentral:lncRNA from 1 species
CAUUCCCCAACAAAUUGAUUUACAUGUGAACAAUGAUCAUCAUCAUCAUCAACAUCAUAGCCCUGUCAUCAACACCAUCUAAUUCAUCUUACUAAACCAAAAACCAGAACGAAGAACAAAAAUGAAGUGAUAGGCAGAGUCGCUAGUACUCCAUCUCCAACUGUCCAAGAGAAAAGGAAGCCACCGACCGAGAACAACCGAUCCAUAACUUGUUGUAAGUGAUCAGUCUAAUCGACGACUACCAAGUCAUCAUCUGUGUAUAUAUGGUUGUACGACGAGUCCAUAUCAUGCACGACAAGCUUCUCGGCGGUGACGCUAGUGCCGGUGGCGUUGUUGAACAUGUAGACCCCCGCUGCCGCGUAGAUGGCCUCGGUCGGGUACGCCCUCGACGUUGCUGUCAACCUCCCGCCCAUCGCGAAGCUCUGCACAAUGGAGUGGUCCACGAGCACCCUAACGGAAAAAUCUUCGCCGUCGAGCACUGGCACCGUGCUACCCACCACCCGCUUCACCACGUCACUAGCAUGCGACGAGCGCAACUCGUCGUGGCAGAAGUGAGUCCGAAGACCACCGUCGAGGCCCUUGGACACAUAGAAGUACACUCCCGUCUGUUCGGUCAGGGCGCGGUUGGCGAGGACAAGGAGGCCGAAGGGGCCAAGCGCGCCGCGGGUGGCAGCCCCGCUGCUGGUGGUGCAGUUGUAGCUAACAUCGGCCUCGUUGAGGGCCUCAAUGGCGGAGGCAUCGAUGCGGAAGGUUGCCUCGAUGUCGAGCUGAGCGGUCUGAUGGAGGGGGAGGAAGGCAACGGAGCCGGCGCCGACGGUGAUGCCGCUGAGAUCGGUGGUGUUGAUGCGGAGGGCAUCGAGCUCCUCCACAGGCCAUUGGACGAGGUUCGUCCGGGUCUUCUCGUCAAGCUCCACUGUCCUCGGAAUCGACUGCACGCACAACACACACCAUUAAGUCAGUGGAUCCAAUAAUUCAAAAUAGUUAAGGCCAUCGAUCAUGAGUGCACAUUCACAUCAUGAACUUGAAGAAAAAAACAUAUCUGCAAAUGAUUCUUGCUUAAUUAAUAUAAAGGGUGCCGCGCCCUGCACCUAUUUCCAUUAAAGAACAUUAGCACACGAACAAAAAGGCUUCACAUAAUUAACAUCAAAGAUUCGAAGGAAGAAAGUCCCGAUUUGAUUUGGUGCGGUUUGUUAGCUGGGAACGGACUCCACGUGCGACUGACCAGGCAUGCACAUGAUGUUUGUUUGUAUAUGGUUGUUGAGCUACACUAGAGAUGGUGAAGUGGGCACUACAUCGACAGUGUAUUGGCUCUUGGAAGUUGCAACGAGAUGGUGAAAGUGACCAAAGAAAACUAGUCCUGAAAUUCAGCCGCCCGGCCGGCCUAUCGACCGAUGAGUAACAUAUAAUUAACCAUCAUGCACCUACCUCGAGGAUUAAUAAUACAAGUAAUUACUGGUUGAAAAAAAAUACUUACUACGUUUCAAAUUGAACGGCGUACUACGCUUGGUUGGGAUAAACUUUUUGAUACGAUGCAAUAUGCAAUAUAUAAAUUGAAAGGCAGAGAUUGGUGCAAUGUGUUUGCCAUUUGGGUACUUAAUUAGUUUAGUAAUUAACUAGAUACCAAAUCGAGCGUGCAGCCAAGGAAGGGGCCGACCAUGUUCUCCAGAUCUCAAGCUUUUGACAGCUCAGCCAGACAGCAACCCACAGCCUAGAGCCGUCCGUUAUUAGUUUUUUUAUUACACAACAAAAAAGACAAACGACAUCAUGACUGCGACGCCGCACAGCUAGUGCUCUACGUACUGUUGUUACUGGCCCAUGGCUGUCACACCAAGGAUCUACCCCACCCAAGAUUGCAAAACCAACGGUGCAGCUAAUGAUGUCGAUCAAUGAUGAUAAAACGUAAUGUAAAAUUAAGACAAUCGUGUCAAUGUACUUUAGUGUGGGUAGGGUGAUAGUUACCUGGAGGUUGGCCCACCCCUUGGUGAUGUCGGCGCGCUCCGAGUCGGUCUCGCCGACGUACGCCCACACGACGCGCCGCUUCUUCACGGGGUCGUAGAAGGACUUGGACGCGUAGUACUUGCCCCAGUCGUACCGCAGCCCGACGCCGAGCUCCAGCUCCUCGUCGAUCGGCGUCCACUUGUUGGCGGCGGCGUCGAACCGGCCCAGCGAGUACCAGUCGUGCCGGUCGUCGUCGCUGCUCUCCUUGAGCACGUACAGCACGUCCUCGGCCGUCGAGUUGUACAUGUCGCUGGCCUUGCGGCCCCCGCCGACGGCGUAGAGGUCGAUGCACUCGUACUCGCCGGUGCCCUUGGGGCCGCGGUACAUGUACCCCGGCAUCAGCUCGUAGCUGAGGAAGUCCUUGGUCUUGUAGGAGAAGACGAUGCCGGAGUGGUCCGAGUCGUUCUUGGAGCCGAUGAUGGUGCGCCACGUGCCGUCGGACUCGUCGAACCACGCGGUGGUGGGGUCGCGGAAGUCCUUCAUGCCGAUGCCGGGGGGCGGGAACACGACGGGGUUGGCGGGGUGCUUGACCCACUCGCGGAGGAGGGGAUCGCUCGGGUCGGCGGGCUCCGCGAGGCAGGUCACCUGCGCAAAGGUCUCGGUGUUCCCCGUGUAGAGGAGGAUGACCUUGCCGUCGGGGAGCACGGUGAUGGAGCCGGUGAGGACGCCCUUGAUGUCGUACCACUGGUCGGGCACCAAGGCCGGCGGGAGGUGGCGCCAGUGAAUGAGGUCCUUGGACACGGCGUGGCCCCACACGAUUUGGGGCUCCCACACGGAGCCCGACGGGUUGUACUGGUAGAAGAAGUGGUACCAUCCGCCAUAGUAAACCGGACCUGCAAUGGAUGCACACAAUGUAUUUCAGUCAAAUAUAUUCCACAUCUUUAGAAAAAAGUUAGUACAAUAUAUUCCACAGGUGAUGAAUCUCUGAACAAGUAAGAAUAUUCGAUCCAUGGAUCAGUUGGGUGGUGCGUGUACUGACCGUUGGGAUCUGCAUGAGGUAGCCGGAGAAUGCCGCCGCCGGGGAGCAAACAAAACGGGAAGCAGAGGCAGCGAGGUCAGUUUCUGGAUCAAACCAAGCCGGAAAAAAAGGAAAAGAAAUUUGGAUCUGAAGAUUUAACCGAAGGGAGGAUGAACUGGGGCAGUAUAUACCGUUCUGGUAGUACUUGUCCGGCUGGAAAUGGUAGCCGGUGCGCUGCCACUGCAGCAUGGCGUUGCUCCACGGGAACGCGUUGGCGGAGUAGGCCCCCGACGUCUUCUCCGACACGCCGUGCUCCUUGCCCCUGCUCCUCGGGAACUCCGUCGCCGGGGUCGCCGGCACGGAGGCGGCCACCGCGUCCCAGCCCGCCCCGCUGGCCCCGAAGACCGCGGCGGCGACGACGAGCGCCACCACGGCCGAGGCGGCCAGCACGGCGGCGCACGCGCGCCACCUCAGGCCACCGCCGCCGGCCCGCUCCUCCUCGAUGCCCUUGGCGUCCGCGGAGGAGGACGGCAGCUGCUCGUAGGCGUACGGCAGCGGCGGCGUGCCGGGGAUGAGUAUGACGCGAGACGAAUCCAUGGCGCCGCCGCUGCUGGCCCGAUGAUCCCGAGGUAACUCGGUAGAUUCUUUUCUGACCGAUGGAUGGGUGGUGGCUUCAGUGGGGGAGCGGGGGAGAUUUAUAGCUGGGGUUCGGGGGUAAAGAUGGGAUUUUUUUGGGAUGGAACCAGCUGGGGUUUUGCGUAGGGUUUUGGCAUCUACCGUCCGUUGCAAAACAAAAACACCUCACGCUUAGUUUUUGCUUUUGCGAUGACACCUCACACUUUGUUGCACAUGCUCUUUGUUCUUGUGUUUAUGGCAAUGAGAAGGCAUUACUGCUCUUGGGCCUCUGCUGGUUUCUUGGAAAAAUAUCUACAAACAAGGUGGCCCCAUAAGAUCGGCGGAUCCUCUCGCCGCGACUCCUUUUAGUAGGUGGUUGCGAUUCAUCAACAUUGCAUUUAAAAAAAAAAUUGUACACAUGUACAAGCUUGUGUUCCUAUUGCCCACAUAAAUGUUCAGGCCAAUAAAAUCAACCUAUGUGUCAUGUAUUAAAAAACAUGUUCCAUGCUUAAGAAUGACUUACUUCAGCAUUGGUUUUUAUUUUGUUUUUAAAGGCAUAAAUCUUAUGUUUUACAUGAUUUGCCGCCUCAUAUGCCUUUCAGAAAUUGCUUGUCCUAGAGAUUAUGCCGAGUUCGUUAAGAAGGAAACAAUGGUUGUUUGUAAAAGGGAGUGUGUAGAUGUAAAAGGGAGUGUGUAGAUGCAUGGGUCUAUUUCAUGGUUCUGUCAUCGCAUAAGAUGUUCUUCAAAGAGGUUAUGGUCAAACUACGUUGAAAAAGAACACAUGUUUUUGCACCGGACUUAAACGUGUCUGGUAAGAGACGUUGCAUACUGAACACCAAUAUUUGAAGGAAAAAUAAAUUGGUCUGGAAACUAAACUUGUUGAAGAGGUUAUGAGCAACUACAUUGAAAAGGAACACACGUGUGCUUGCAAGAGACUAUUGCGUGGCCUAUAAGAAAUGUUCCAUAUGACGACAUGAUGCAGAAACAUGAUAAUACAUUGGUUUUGCUUUUAAUUUUCAGGGGCAUACACCUUAAGGUUUUUGAGGAUUUGUCGUCUUUUGAUGUAUAGUUGCUUGUCCAGGAGAUUAUCAUCGACAUUUUUUAAGAAGGAAACAAUGUUUGUUUGUGAUGAGGAAUGUGUAGAUGCAAAAGGUCACCACCGCCAUGUUGUCCUCUCCGUUGGCCCGUCAGGAAUCGGACAACCCUGUAAUAGGGACAAUGGGGCUUCGCGACAGAACAAGCGGACAAUAUUGCUGUCUAUUUCAUAAUUUUGUAAUUGUAUAAGGUUUUGUUGAAGAAAUUAUGAUCAACUACAUCGAAAAAGAACACAUGUCUUUGCACCGGACUUAGUCGUGUCCGGCAAGAAAUUUUGCAUACUGCGAUACAAUAGUGUGAUCAACUACGUUGAAAAAGAACACAUGUGCUUGCAUGGGACGCAUGCAUGUUCGGUAAGAAACAAUGCAUUAUACGACAUGAUAACACUACAGAACAACAAGAUUUCGAAGGAAAAUUAAAUUGAUCCAGAAACUAAUCCUUUUUCCUUCAUGAAACAAGUGCACGCAUGCAGUGAGUUAUUUUACUUCCAAAUGUCUAUUACUCCGUGAUUCCACCCACCGAGAGGAUUAUAGAUGUGGAACAGUGAAAUCCAUCAAAGCAUAUAUGUUGAGGGAAGAGAUGUAACUAGUUAUAACUUUCAAGGUAAUGACUGGACAUGAUGCAUGACACAUCACAUUAGAGCUUAUUGUCAAAAUAUUAAGGAACAAGACACCAUCGGGUUUGCAUUAGGUUCAUAAGAUUGGCAGAUUCACUUGUCGCGAUUCCUUCAGUAGGUGGUUGCGAAUGAUGAACCACAAGUAUAGGAGAUCAAUCGUAGUUCUUUUGAUAAGUAAAAGUGUCGAACCCAACAAGGAGCAGAAUGAAUUAACAAGUAGUUUUGAGCAAGGUUUCACUUCAAGUGUUGUAAAGAUAAUUUUGAUAACAAGGCAAAUAGUAACAAAAGUAAUAAAGUGCAGCAAGUGGCCCAAUCCUUCUAUAUGCUAAGGACAAGCAGGUGGUGUUUCUUAUAAUAGCUAAAACGCUCUUGAGGAGACAUGAGAAUCUCGUCAAGUUACUUUCACAACUAUUGAUUAAGUUACUGUUCCUUGCUUUGGUAAGUGUUGUGUGGGUGAACCAGAGCUAAGGUACUGUUCUAACUUGAACAAAUACCUUCUUAUGAUUAUGCCCCCCAUGCAAACAUAUGCAACUACAAGACAAGUAACUAAGAUAAAUAUAACCAUAACAUUAAACAAUAGGAUCCAAAACAGCCCCUCACGGAACAAUUCAUAAACUGGGGUUUGAGUUUCUAUCACUCCCGCGACCCAUCAUCUACAAACUAAUUCCACAAUGUCUUCCCCUAGGCCCAAAGAUGGUGAACUGUCAUGUACCCGACGUUCACAUAACACCACUAGAAGAAUAACAACACACCAUAUCGUCAAAAACAUUGAACGGUGAUCAACUUAACAUGAUUACUGGCAACAAGACUUCUCUCAUAUCCUCAAGAUAAAAUGCAACUACUCACAAGACAUCAUAUGGAUCAGGAUCAGUAGGUAUAAAUAUAUGAUGAACUAUCUGAACUCAACAAUCUUUCACCAAUAAAUCUUCUACGCAUCAACUACAAGAUGUAAUCAACACACAUAAGUACUUCGAGUUACCAAUCUAAGGUUUGAUACAAAGAUUGAACAAAAAUGUGAAGGAAAUAUUCCCUAGAGGCAAUAAUAAAGUUGUUAUUUAUAUUUCCUUAUAUCAUGAUAAAUGUUUAUUAUCCAUGCUAGAAUUGUAUUAACCGGAAACUUGAUACAUGUGUGGAUAUAUAGACAAUACACCGUGUCCCUAGUAAGCCUCUACUAGACUAGCUCGUUAAUCAAAGAUGGUUAAGUUUCCUAGCCAUAGACAUGUGUUGUCAUUUGAUGAAUGGGAUCACGUCAUUAGGAGAAUGAUGUGAUGGACAAGACCAAUCCGUUAGCUUAGCAUUAUGAUCCUUCAGUUUUAUUGCUAUUGCUUUCUUCAUGACUUAUACAUAUUCAUCUGACUAUGAGAUUAUGCAACUCCCGAAUACCGGAGGAACGCCUUGUGUGCUAUCAAACGUCACAACGUAACUGGGUGAUUAUAAAGAUGCUCUACAGGUGUCUCCGAAGGUGUUUGUUGGGUUGGCAUAGAUCAAGAUUAGGAUUUGUCACUCCGUGUAUCGGCGAGGUAUCUCUGGGCCCUCUCGGUAAUGCACAUCAUAAUAAGCCUUGCAAGCAAUGUGACUAAUGAGUUAGUUACGGGAUGAUGUAUUACGAAACGAGUAAAGAGACUUGCCGGUAACGAGAUUGAAGACUAGGUAUGAAGAUACCGACGAUCGAAUCUCGGGCAAGUAACAUACCGAUGACAAAGGGAAUUACGUAUGUUGUCAUAAGGUUCGACCGAUAAAGAUCUUCGUAGAAUAUGUAGGAGCCAAUAUGGGCAUCCAGGUUCCGCUAUUGGUUAUUUACUGGAGAGGUGUCUCGGUCAUGUCUACAUAGUUCUCGAACCCAUAGGGUCCGCACGCUUAACAUUCGUUGACGAUAUAGUAUUAUAUGAGUUGUGUAUGUUGGUGACCGAAUGUUGUUCGGAGUCCCGGAUGAGAUCACGGACAUGACGAGGAGCUCUGGAAUGGUCCGGAGGUAAAGAUUCAUAUAUUGGAUGAUAUGGUUAGGUCAAGGAGUCAGGCCCAUGGGGCUAUAGGUCGGUGCAAAAGAUAGUUUUGCGGAGGUCAGAGGCCAAACGCCGGAGACCCUGGCGUCUGGCCCUGGGCCAGGCGCCGAGGCCCAUGGCGUCUGGGCCAGACGUCAAGGAUUGUGGCGUUUGGUCCUGGAGUCCGAGUGGGACUCUUGCCUUUCGGGCAAAACCGACUUUGAGGAGGCUUUUACUCCAAGUUUCGACCCCAGGGCUCAACAUAUAAAUAGAGGGGCAGGGCUAGCACCCAAGAAACAUGAAGAAUCACCAAGCCGUGUGCCAGCAACCCCGUUCCCUCUAGUUUAUCCUCCGUCAUAGUUUUUGUAGUGCUUGGCGAAGCCCUGCGGAGAUUGUUCUUCACCAACACCGUCACCACGCCGUUGUGCUGCCGGAACUCAUCUACUACUUCGCCCAUCUUACUGGAUCGAGAAGGCGAGGACGUCAUCGAGCUGAACGUGUGCUGAACGCGGAGGUGCCAUACGUUCGGUACUUGAUCGGGAUGGAUCGUGAAGGUGUACGACUACAUCAACCGCGUUGUCAAACGCUUCCGGUUUCGGUCUACGAGGGUACGUGGACACACUCUCCCUGCUCGUUGCUAUGCAUCACCAAGAUAGAUCUUGCGUGAUCGUAGGAAUUUUUUUGAAAUUACUGCAUUCCCAACAGUGGCAUCCGAGCCAGGUCUAUGCGUAGAUGUUAUAUGCACGAGUAGAACACAAAGAGUUGUGUGCGACAAUAGUCAUACUGCUUACCAGCAUGUCAUACUUUGAUUCGGCGGUAUUGUUGGAUGAAGCGGCCCAGACCGACAUUACAUGACCGCGUUCAUGAGACUGGUUCUACCGCCGUGCUUUGCACAUAGGUGGCUAGUGGGUGUCUGUUUCUCCAACUUUAGUUGAAUCGAGUGUGACUACGCCCGGUCCUUGUUGAAGGUUAAAACAACACACUUGACAAAAAAUCGUUGUGGUUUUGAUGCGUAGGUAAGAACGGUUCUUGCUAAGCCCGUAGCAGCCACGUAAAACUUGCAACAACAAAGUAGAGGAUGUCUAACUUGUUUUUGUAGGGCAUGUUGUGAUGUGAUAUGGUCAAGACGUGAUGAGAUAUAAAUUAUUGUAUGAGAUGAUCAUGUUUUGUAAAAGUUAUCGGCAACUGGCAGGAGACUUAUGGUUGUCGCUUUAUUGUAUGAAAUGCAGUCGCCAUGUAAUUGCUUUACUUUAUCACUAAGCGAUAGCGAUAGUCGUAGCAAUAGUUGGCGAGACGACAACGAUGCUACGAUAGAAAUCAAGGUGUCAAGCCGGUGACGAUGGUGAUCAUGACAGUGCUUUGGAGAUGGAGAUCAAAGGCACAAGAUGAUGAUGGCCAUAUCAUAUCACUUAUUUUGAUUGCAUGUGAUGUUUAUCCUUUAUGCAUCUUCUUUUGCUUAGUACGGCGGUAGCAUUAUAAGAUGAUCUCUCACUAAAUUUCAAGGUACAAGUGUUCUCCCUGAGUAUGCACCGUUGCUACAAAUCGUCGUGCCGAGACACCACGUGCCCCCCUCCUAGUCCAAUUCGGACCGGAGGGGGAGGGGGCGCGCGGCCUGCCCUGGCUGCCCCUCUCUCUCUCUCUCCACUAAAGCCCAUUAGGGCCCAUAUACUCCCCGGGGGGUUCCGGUAACCCCCCCCGGUACUCCUGUAUAUGCCCGAACUCUCUCGAAACCUUUCCGAUGUCCAAACAUAGUCAUCCAAUAUAUCGAUCUUUAUGUCUCGACCAUUUCGAGACUCCUCGUCAUGUCUGUGAUCAUAAUCAUAUCCGGGACUCCGAACUACCUUCGGUACAUCAAAACACAUAAACUCAUAAUAACGAUCGUCACCGAACGUUAAGCGUGCGGACCCUACGGGUUCGAGAACUAUGUAGACAUGACCGAGACUCAUCUCCGGUCAAUAACCAAUAGCGGAACCUGGAUGCUCAUAUUGGUUCCUACAUAUUCUACGAAGAUCUUUAUCGGUCAAACCGCAUAACAACAUACGUUGUUCCCUUUGUCAUCGGUAUGUUACUUGCCCGAGAUUCGAUCGUCGGUAUCUCAACACCUAGUUUAAUCUCGUUACCGGCAAGUCUCUUUACUCGUUCCGUAAUGCAUCAUCCCGCAACUAACACAUUAGUCACAUUGCUUGCAAGGCUUAUAGUGAUGUGCAUUACCGAGAGGGCCCAGAGAUACCUCUCCGACAAUCGGAGUGACAAAUCCUAAUCUCGAUCUAUGCCAACUCAACAAACACCAUUGGAGACACCUGUAGAGCACCUUUAUAAUCACCCAGUUACGUUGUGACGUUUGGUGGACGGUGCACAUAGCUUUUAACAUUACUCCUCCGAGUUCUGUCAGCUCGUUAUUUGGAACGUGGCUUAACAGGAUAGAGUCCGAAACAGCGAGCCACAUCCGCGUAGGAGUAUGUGCAUAUUUUGUGGGCAGUCUGGAACUGCAGAAAUGAUUUGGUCUUUAACAGAACAUCAAAUAUUCAUUUUUUGCAGGUUAUCUUCCGGGCCAGUGCGUUGAUCCGUAUGUGGUCGGUACUCACUCCGACGGAGGCCAGGGAGCAUUUGGUUACUGGAUCUAUCCGGUGGGAGAUGGUAGCACGGGAUGUCUUCAACCGGUUUGGAUGGCGGUCAUGUAAUAGGAUAGGCAAUUAGUUUUCCUAUCUUUUUUGUGCCAGCCGGUUGUGGCUUUUAUGGCCUUUUUAUUGGCUCUUUGUGCGCUUGUCUUUACUUUUUUCGAGACUUUACGACCUUGUUGAACCUAUUUGCUUUUUAUAAAGGUGGCCGUAUGCAUCGUUCUGAUGCAGAGGCCGGGGAGCCCCCCCCUUUCGAAAAAAAACGUUGUGACGUUUGGUAGCACACCAAGUGUUCCUCCGGUAUUCGGGAGUUGCAUAAUCUCAUAGUCAUGGGAACAUGUAUAAGUCAUGAAGAAAGCAAUAGCAACAUACUAAAGGAUCAAGUGCUAAGCUAACAAAAUGGGUCAAGUCAAUCACAUCAUUCUCUAAUGAUGUGAGCCCGUUAAUCAAAUGACAACUCAUGUCUAUGGCUAGGAAACUUAACCAUCUUUGAUUCAACGAGCUAGUCAAGUAGAGGCAUACUAGUGACACUCUGUUUGUCUAUGUAUUCACACAUGUACUAAGUUUCCGGUUAAUAUAAUUCUAGCAUGAAUAAUAAACAUUUAUCAUGAUAUAAGGAAAUAUAAAUAACAACUUUAUUAUUGCCUCUAGGGCAUAUUUCCUUCAGUCUCCCACUUGCACUAGAGUCAAUAAUCUAGUUCACAUCGCCAUGUGAUUUAACACCAAUAGUUCACAUCACCAUGUGAUUAACACCCAUAGUUCACAUCAUCAUGUGACCAACACCCAAAGGGUUUACUAGAGUCAAUAAUCUAGUUCACAUCGCUAUGUGAUUAACACCCAAAGAGUACUUAAGGUGUGAUCAUGUUUUGCUUGUGAGAGAAGUUUAGUCAACGGAUCUGCCACAUUCAGAGCCGUAUGUAUUUUGCAAAUAUUCUAUGUCUUACAAUACUCUGCACGGAACUACUAUAGCUAAUUGCUCCCACUUUCAAUAUGUAUCUAGAUUGAGACUUAGAGUCAUCCGGAUCAGUAUCAAAACUUGCAUCGAGGUAACCCUUCACGACGAACCUUUUGUCACCUCCAUAACCGAGAAACAUAUCCUUAUACCACUAAGGAUAAUUUUGACCGCUGUCCAGUGGUCCACUCCUGGAUCACUAUUGUACCCUCUUGCCAAACUCAUGGUGAGGUAUACAAUAGGUCUGGUACACAGCAUGGCAUACUUUAUAGAACCUAUGACUGAGGCAUUGGGAAUGACUUUUCAUUCUAUUUCUAUUUUCUGCCGUGGUCGGGUUUUGAGUCUUUACUCAACAUCACACCUUGCAAUACAGGCAAGAGCUCUUUCUUUGAUUGUUCCAUUUUGAACUACUUCAAAAUCUUGUCAAGGUAUGUACUCAUUGAAAAAACAUAUCAAGCGUCUUGAUCGAUCUCUAUAGAUCUUGAAGCUCAAUAUGUAAGCAGCUUCACCGAGGUCUUUCUAUGAAAAACUCCUUUCAAACACUCCUUUAUGCUUCCAGAAAAUUCUACAUCAUUUCCGAUCAACAAUAUGUCAUUCACAUAUACUUAUCAGAAAGGCUGUAGUGCUCCCACUCACUUUCUUGUAAAUACAGGCUUCACUGCAAGCCUGUAUAAAACUAUAUGCUUUGAUCAACUCAUCAAACCGUAUAUUCCAACUCCGAGAUGCUUGCACCGGUCCAUAGAUGGAUCGCUGGAGCUUGCACAUUUUGUUAGCACCUUUAGGAUUGACAAAACCUUCUGGCUGCAUCAUAUACAACUCUUUUUUAAUAAAUCCAUUAAGGAAUGCAGUUUUGUUAUUCAUUUGCCAGAUUUCAUAAAAUGCGGCAAUUGGUAACAUGAUUCGGACAGACUUAAGCAUCGAUGCGAGUGAGAAAAUCUCAUUGUAGUCAACACCUUGAACUUGUCGAAAACCUUUUGCGAUAAUUCGAUCUUUGUAGAUAGUAACACUACCAUCAGCGUCCGUCUUCCUCUUGAAAAUCCAUUUAUUCUCAAUGGCUUGCCGAUCAUCGGGCAAUUCCACCAAAGUCCAUACUUUGUUCUCAUACAUGGAUCCCAUCUCAGAUUUUAUGGCCCAUUUUGCGGAAUCUGGGCUCAUCAUCGCUUCCUCAUAGUUCGUAGGUUUUUCAUGGUCUAGUAACAUGACUUCCAGAACAGGAUUACCGUACUACUCUGGCGGGGAACGUACUCUGGUUGACCUACGAGGUUCGGUAGCAACUUGAUUUGAAGUUUCAUGAUCAUCAUCAUUAGCUUCCUCACUAAUUGGUGUAGGAAUCACUAGAACUGAUUUAUGUGAUGAACUACUUUCCAAUAAGGGAGCAGGUACAUUUACCUCAUCAAGUUCUACUUUCCUCCCACUCACUUCUUUCGAGAGAAACUCCUUCUCAAGAAAGGAUCCAUUCUUAGCAACGAAUAUCUUGCCUUCGGAUCUGUGAUAGAAGGUGUACCCAACAGUCUCCUUUGGGUAUCCUAUGAAGACACAUUUCUCCGAUUUGGGUUCGAGCUUAUCAGGUUGAAGCUUUUUCACAUAAGCAUCACAUCCCCAAACUUUAAGAAACGAAAACUUGGGUAUCUUGCCAAACCACAGUUCAUAUGGUGUGGUCUCAACGGAUUUAGAUGGUGCCCUAUUUAACGUGAAUGCAGCUGUCUCUAAUGCAUAACCCCAAAACGAUUGUGAUAAAUCGGUAAGACAUCAUAGAUCGCACCAUAUCUAAUAAAAUACGGUUAUGACAUUCGGACACACCAUUACGCUGUGGUGUUCCAGGUGGCGUGAGUUGCGAAACUAUUCCGCAUUGUUUCAAAUGAAGACCAAACUCAUAACUCAAAUAUUCUCCUCCAUGAUCAGAUUGUAGAAACUUUAUUUUCUUGUUACGAUGAUUUUCCACUUCACUCUGAAUUUUUUUGAACUUUUCAAAUGUUUCAGACUUAUGUUUCAUCAAUUAGAUAUACCCAUAUCUGCUCAAAUCAUCUGUGAAGGUGAGAAAAUAAUGAUACCCGCCGCGAACCUCAAUAUUCAUCGGACCACAUACAUCAGUAUGUAUGAUUUCCAACAAAUCUAUUGUUCGCUCCAUUGUUCCAGAGAACGGAGUUUUAGUCAUCUUGCCCAUGAGGCAUGGUUCGCAAGCAUCAAGUGAUUCAUAAUCAACUGAUUCCAAAAGCCCAUCAGCAUGGAGUUUCUUCAUGCGCUUUACACCAAUAUGACCUAAACGGCAGUGUCACAAAUAAGUUGCACUAUCAUUAUUAACUUUGCAUCUUUUGGCUUCAAUAUUAUGAAUAUGUGUAUCACUACGAUCGAGAUUCAAUAAACCAUUUAUAUUGAGUGUAUGACCAUAGAAGGUUUUAUUGAUGUAAAUAGAACAACAAUUAUUCUAUGACUUUAAUGAAUAACCGUAUUGCAAUAAACAUGAUCCAAUCAUAUUCAUGCACAACGCAAACACCAAAUAACAUUUAUUUUAGGUUCAACACUAAUCCCGACGGUAAGGGAGUGUGCGAUGGUGAUCUUAUCCUUGGAAUCACUUCCAACACACAUCAUCACCUUGCCCUUAACUAGUCUCUGUUUAUUUGCAACUCCCGUUUCGAGUUACUACUCUUAGCAACUGAACCAGUAUCAAAUACCGAGGGGUUGCUAUAAACACUAGUAAAGUACACAUCAAUAACAUGUAUAUCAAAUAUACCUUUGUUCACUUUGCAUCCUUCUUAUCCGCCAAGUAUCUAGGGCAGUUCCACUUCCAGUGACCAUUUCCUUUGCAGUAGAAGCAUUUAGUUUCCGGCUUGGGUCUAGCUUUGGGGUUCUUCAUGGGAGUGGCAACUUGCUUGCCAUUCUUUCUUGAAGUUCCCUUUCUUUCCCUUGCCCUUUUACUUCAAACUAGUGGUCUUGUUAACAAUCAACACUUGAUGCUCUUUCUUGAUUUCUACCUUCGCCGAUUUUAGCAUCGCGAAGAGCUCGCGAAUCGUUUUCGUCCAUCCCUUACAUAUUAUAGUUCACCACGAAGUUUUAGUAACUUGUUGAUGUGACUAGAGAACUCUGUCAAUCACUAUAUUUUCUGGAAGAUUAACUCCCACUUUAUUCAAGUGAUUGUAGUACUCAGACAUUUUGACCACAUGCUCACUGGUUGAGCUAUUCUCAUCCAUCUUGUAGGCAAAGUAAUUGUCAGAGGUCUCAUACCUCUCAACACGGGCAUGAGUCUGAAAUACCAAUUUCAACUCUUGGAACAUCUCAUAUGCUCCAUGUCGUUCAAAACAUUUUUGAAGUCCCGGUUCUAAGCCGUAAAGCAUGGUGCACUAAACUAUCAAGUGUUGAAAUAUGUCCUAGAGGCAAUAAUAAAUGGUUAUUAUUAUAUUUCUUUGUUCAUGAUAAUUGUCUAUUGUUCAUGCUAUAAUUGUGUUAUCCGGAAAUCGUAAUGCAUGUGUGAAUACAUAGACCACAACGUGUCCCUAGUAAGCCUCUAGUUGACUAGCUCGUUGAUCAACAGAUAGUCAUGGUUUCCUGACUAUGGACAUUGGAUGUCAUUGAUAACGGGAUCACAUCAUUAGGAGAAUGAUGUGUUGGACAAGACCCAAUCCUAAGCAUAGCUCAAAGAUCGUGUAGUUCGUUUGCUAGAGCUUUUCCAAUGUCAAGUAUCUUUUCCUUAGACCAUGAGAUCGUGCAACUCCCGGAUGCCGUAGGAGUGCUUUGGGUGUGACAAACGUCACAACGUAACUGGGUGACUAUAAAGGUGCACUACGGGUAUCUCCGAAAGUGUCUGUUGGGUUGGCACGGAUCGAGACUGGGAUUUGUCACUCCGUAUGACGGAGAGGUAUCUCUGGGCCCACUCGGUAAUGCAUCAUCAUAAUGAGCUCAAUGUGACUAAGGAGUUAGCCACGGGAUCAUGUAUUACGGUACGAGUAAAGAGACUUGCCGGUAACGAGAUUGAACAAGGUAUUGGGAUACCGACGAUCGAAUCUCGGGCAAGUAACAUACCGAUUGACAAAGGGAAUUGAAUACGGGAUUGAUUGAAUCCUCGACAUCGUGGUUCAUCCGAUGAGAUCAUCGUGGAACAUGUGGGAGCCAACAUGGGUAUCCAGAUCCCGCUGUUGGUUAUUGACCGGAGAGGCGUCUCGGUCAUGUCUGCAUGUCUCCCGAACCCGUAGGGUCUACACACUUAAGGUUCGGUGACGCUAGGGUUGUAGAGAUAUGAGUAUGCGGAAACCCGAAAGUUGUUCGGAGUCCCGGAUGAGAUCCUGGACGUCACGAGGAGUUCCGGAAUGGUCCGGAGGUGAAUAAUUAUAUAUAGGAAGUCAAGUUUCGGCCACCGGGAAAGUUUCGGGGGUUAUCGGUAUUGUACCGGGACCACCGGAAGGGUGCCGGGGGUCCACCGGGUGGGGCCACCUAUCCCGGAGGGCCCCAUGGGCUGAAGUGGGAAGGGAACCAGCCCUUAGUGGGCUGGGGCGCCCCCCAUGGGCCUCCCCCUGCGCCUAGGGUUGGAAACCCUGGGGUGGGGGGCGCCCCACUUGCCUUGCGGGGCAAGUUUCCCCCCUGGCCGCCGCCGCCCCCUUUAGAUGGGAUCCAGGCCGGCGGCCCCCCCUCCCAGGGGGCCUAUAUAUAGUGGGGGGAGGGAGGGCAGCAGUACCACAGCCCCUGGCGCCUCCCUCUCCCCCUGCAACACCUCUCCCUCUCGCAGAAGCUUGGCGAAGCCCUGCCGAGAUCCCGCUACAUCCACCACCACGCCGUCGUGCUGCUGGAUCUCCAUCAACCUCUCCUUUCCCCUUGCUGGAUCAAGAAGGAGGAGACGUCGCUGCUCCGUACGUGUGUUGAACGCGGAGGUGCCGUCCGUUCGGCACUCGGUCAUCGGUGAUUUGGAUCACGGCGAGUACGACUCAAUCAACCCCGUUCAUUAGAACGCUUCCGCUCGCGAUCUACAAGGGUAUGUAGAUGCACUCCUUUCCCCUCGUUGCUAGUAUACUCCAUAGAUGGAUCUUGGUGAUGCGUAGGAAAUUUUAAAAUUCUGCUACGAUCCCCAACAGUGGCAUCAUGAGCCAGGCCUAUGCGUAGUUACUAUGCACGAGUAGAACAGAAAGCAGUUGUGGGCGUAGAUGUUGUCAAUUUUUCUUGCCACUACUAGUCUUAUCUUGUUUCGGCGGUAUUGUGGGAUGAAGCGGCCCGGACCGACCUUACACGUACGCUUACGUGAGACAGGUUCCACCGACUGACAUGCACUAGUUGCAUAAGGUGGCUAGCGGGUGUCUGUCUCUCCCACUUUAGUCGGAACGGAUUCGAUGAAAAGGGUCCUUAUGAAGGGUAAAUAGAAAUUGGCAUAUCACGUUGUGGUCUUACGUAGGUAAGAAAUGUUCUUGCUAGAAACCUAUAGAAGCCGCGUAAAAACUUGCAACAACAAUUAGAGGACGUCUAACUUGUUUUUGCAGCAUGUGCCUUGUGAUGUGAUAUGGCCAGAAGAUGUGAUGAAUGAUAUAUGUGAUGUAUGAGAUUGAUCAUAUUCUUGUAAUAGGAAUCACGACUUGCAUGUCGAUGAGUAUGACAACCGGCAGGAGCCAUAGGAGUUGUCUUUAUUAUUUUGUAUGACCUGCGUGUCAUUGAAUAACGCCAUGUAAUUUACUUUACUUUAUUGCUAAACGCGUUAGCCAUAGAAGUAGAAGUAAUCGUUGGUGUGACAACUUCAUGAAGACACGAUGAUGGAGAUCAUGAUGAUGGAGAUCAUGGUGUCAUGCCGGUGACGAAGAUGAUCAUGGCGCCCCGAAGAUGGAGAUCAAAGGAGCAAAAUGAUAUUGGCCAUAUCAUGUCACUAUUUGAUUGCAUGUGAUGUUUAUCAUGUUUUGCAUCUUAUUUGCUUAGAACGACGGUAGUAAGUAAGAUGAUCCCUUAUAAUAAUUUCAAGAAAGUGUUCCCCCUAACUGUGCACCAUUGCGAAGGUUUGUUGUUUCGAAGCACCACGUGAUGAUCGGGUGUGAUAGAUUCUAACGUUCGCAUACAACGAGUGUUGACGAGCCUAGCAUGUACAGACAUGGCCUCGGAACACACGCAAUACACUUAGGUUGAGUUGACGAGCCUAGCAUGUACAGACAUGGACUCGGAACACGGAAGACCGAAAGGUCGAGCAUGAGUCGUAUAGAAGAUACGAUCAACAUGGAGAUGUUCACCGAUCUUGACUAGUCCGUCUCACGUGAUGAUCGGACACGGCCUAGUUAACUCGGAUCAUGUUUCACUUAGAUGACUAGAGGGAUUUCUAUCUGAGUGGGAGUUCAUUGAAUAAUUUGAUUAGAUGAACUUAAUUAUCAUGAACUUAGUCUAAAAUCUUUACAAUAUGUCUUGUAGAUCAAAUGGCCCACGUUGUCCUCAACUUCAACGCGUUCCUAGAGAAAACCAAGCUGAAAGAUGAUGGCAGCAACUAUACGGACUGGGUCCGGAACCUGAGGAUCAUCCUCAUAGCUGCCAAGAAAGAUUAUGUCCUAGAAGCACCGCUAGGUGAAGCACCAAUCCCAGAGAACCAAGAUGUUAUGAACGCUUGGCAAUCACAUGCUGAUGAUUACUCCCUCGUUCAGUGCGGCAUGCUUUACAGCUUAGAACCGGGGCUCCAAAAGCGUUUUGAGAAACAUGGAGCAUAUGAGAUGUUCGAAGAGCUGAAAAUGGUUUUCCAAGCUCAUGCCCGGGUCGAGAGAUAUGAAGUCUCCGACAAGUUCUUCAGUUGUAAAAUGGAGGAAAAUAGUUCUGUCAGUGAGCACAUACUCAGAAUGUCUGGGUUACACAACCGCUUGUCUCAGCUGGGAGUUAAUCUCCAGGAUGACGCGGUCAUUGACAGAAUCCUUCAGUCGCUUCCACCGAGCUACAAGAGCUUUGUGAUGAACUUCAAUAUGCAAGGGAUGGAAAAGACCAUUCCUGAGGUAUAUUCAAUGCUGAAAUCAGCGGAGGUGGAGAUCAGAAAAGAACAUCAAGUGUUGAUGGUGAAUAAAACCACUAAGUUCAAGAAAGGCAAGGGUAAGAAGAACUUCAAGAAGGACGGCAAGGGAGUUGCCGCGCCCGGUAAGCCAGUUGCCGGGAAGAAGUCAAAGAAUGGACCCAAGCCUGAGACUGAGUGCUUUUAUUGCAAGGGAAGUGGUCACUGGAAGCGGAACUGCCCCAAAUACUUAGCGGACAAGAAGGCCGGCAAUACCAAAGGUAUAUGUGAUAUACAUGUAAUUGAUGUGUACCUUACAGUACUCGUAGUAGCUCUUGGGUAUUUGAUACCGGUGCGGUUGCUCAUAUUUGUAACUCAAAACAGGAGCUGCGGAAUAAACGGAGACUGGCGAAGGACGAGGUGACGAUGCGCGUCGGGAAUGGUUCCAAGGUCGAUGUGAUCGCCGUCGGCACGCUACCUCUGCAUUUACCUACGGGAUUAGUUUUAAACCUCAAUAAUUGUUAUUUAGUGCCAGCUUUGAGCAUGAACAUUGUAUCUGGAUCUCGUUUAAUGCGAGAUGGCUACUCAUUUAAAUCCGAGAAUAAUGGUUGUUCUAUUUAUAUGAGAGAUAUGUUUUAUGGUCAUGCCCCGCUGGUCAAUGGUUUAUUCUUAAUGAAUCUUGAACGUGAUGUUGCACAUAUUCAUAGUGUGAAUACCAAAAGAUGUAAAGUUGAUAACGAUAGUCCCACAUACUUGUGGCACUGCCGCCUUGGUCACAUUGGUGUCAAGCGCAUGAAGAAGCUCCAUGCAGAUGGACUUUUAGAGUCUCUCGGUUAUGAAUCAUUUGACACAUGCGAACCAUGCCUCAUGGGCAAGAUGACCAAGACUCCGUUCUCCGGAACAAUGGAGCGAGCAAUCAAUUUAUUGGAAAUCAUACAUACCGAUGUGUGCGGUCCAAUGAGUGUUGAGGCUCGCGGAGGAUAUCGUUAUGUUCUCACUCUCACUGAUGACUUAAGUAGAUAUGGGUAUGUCUACCUAAUGAAACACAAGUCUGAGACCUUUGAAAAGUUCAAGGAAUUUCAGAGUGAGGUUGAGAAUCAACGUGACAGGAAAAUAAAGUUCCUACGAUCAGAUCGUGGAGGAGAAUAUUUAAGUCACGAAUUUGGCACACACUUAAGGAAAUGUGGAAUAGUUUCACAACUCACGCCGCCUGGAACACCUCAGCGAAAUGGUGUGUCCGAACAUCGUAAUCGCACUCUAUUGGAUAUGGUGCGGUCUAUGAUGUCUCUUACCGAUCUACCGCUCUCAUUUCGGGGCUAUGCUUUAGAGACUGCCGCAUUUACUUUAAACAGGGCUCCGUCGAAAUCCGUUGAGACGACACCGUAUGAAUUAUGGUUUGGGAAGAAACCUAAGCUGUCGUUUCUAAAAGUUUGGGGAUGCGAUGUUUAUGUCAAGAAACUUCAACCUGAAAAGCUCGAACCCAAGUCGGAAAAAUGUGUCUUCAUAGGAUACCCUAAGGAAACCAUUGGGUAUACCUUCUACCUCAGAUCCGAAGGCAAGAUCUUUGUUGCCAAGAACGGGUCCUUUCUGGAGAAAGAGUUUCUCUCGAAAGAAUUGAGUGGGAGGAAAGUGGAACUUGAUGAGAUGAUAGUCACCCCUUCCGAACCGAAAAGUAGCGCAGCGCGGGAAGUUGUUCCUGUGGUGCCUACACCGACUGGGGAGGAAGUUAAUGAUGAUGAUCAUGAAGCUUCGGAUCAAGUUACUGCUGAACUUCGAAGGUCCACAAGGACACGUUCCGCACCAGAGUGGUACGGCAACCCUGUCCUGGAAAUCAUGUUGUUAGACAACGGUGAACCUUCGAACUAUGAAGAAGCGAUGGCGGGCCCGGAUUCCGACAAAUGGCUAGAAGCCAUGAAAUCCGAGAUAGGAUCCAUGUAUGAAAACGAAGUAUGGAGUUUGACUGACUUGCCCGAUGAUCAGCGAGCCAUAGAAAAUAAAUGGAUCUUUAAGAAGAAGACAGACGCGGAUGGUAAUGUGACCAUCUAUAAGGCUCGACUUGUCGCUAAGGGUUAUCGACAAGUUCAAGGGGUUGACUACGAUGAGACUUUCUCACCCGUAGCGAAGCUGAAGUCCGUCCGAAUCAUGUUAGCAAUUGCCGCAUUCUAUGAUUAUGAGAUAUGGCAAAUGGACGUCAAAACGGCAUUCCUUAACGGCUUUCUUAAGGAAGAAUUGUAUAUGAUGCAGCCGGAAGGUUUUGUCGAUCCUAAGAAUGCUAACAAAGUAUGCAAGCUCCAGCGCUCAAUCUAUGGGCUGGUGCAAGCAUCUCGGAGUUGGAACAUUCGCUUUGAUGAGAUGAUCAAAGCGCUUGGGUUUACACAGACUUAUGGAGAAGCCUGUGUUUACAAGAAAGUGAGUGGGAGCUCUGUAGCAUUUCUCAUAUUAUAUGUGGAUGACAUACUAUUGAUGGGAAAUGAUAUAGAAUUCUUGGAAAGUAUAAAGGCCUAUUUGAAUAAGUGUUUUUCAAUGAAGGACCUUGGAGAAGCUGCUUAUAUAUUAGGCAUCAAGAUCUAUAGAGAUAGAUCAAGACGCCUCAUUGGUCUUUCACAGAGUACAUACCUUGACAAGAUAUUGAAGAAGUUCAAUAUGGAUCAGUCCAAGAAGGGGUUCUUGCCUGUAUUGCAAGGUGUGCAAUUGAGCACGGCUCAAUGCCCGACCACGGCAGAAGAUAGAGAAAAGAUGAGUGUCAUCCCCUAUGCCUCGGCCAUAGGGUCUAUUAUGUAUGCCGUGCUGUGUACCAGACCUGAUGUAAACCUUGCCGUGAGUUUGGUAGGAAGGUACCAAAGUAAUCCCAGCAUGGAACACUGGACAGCGGUCAAGAAUAUCCUGAAGUACCUGAAGAGGACUAAGGAUAUGUUUCUCGUUUAUGGAGGUGACGAAGAGCUCGUCGUAAAGGGUUACGUCGGCGCUAGCUUCGACACAGAUCUGGAUGACUCGAAGUCACAAACCGGAUACGUGUAUAUUUUGAAUGGAGGGGCAGUAAGCUGGUGCAGUUGCAAGCAAAGCUUCGUGGCGGGAUCUACAUGUGAAGCGGAGUACAUGGCGGCCUCAGAGGCAGCACAGGAAGCAGUCUGGAUAAAGGAGUUCAUUACCGACCUAGGGGUGAUUCCCAAUGCAUCGGGCCCGAUGACUCUCUUCUGUGACAACACUGGAGCUAUUGCCCUUGCGAAGGAGCCCAGGUUUCACAGGAAGACCAGGCAUAUCAAGCGUCGCUUUAACUCCAUUCAUGAAAGUGUUCAAAAUGGAGACAUAGAUAUUUGUAAAGUACAUACGGACCUGAAUGUAGCAGAUCCGUUGACUAAACCUCUCCCUAGAGCAAAACAUGAUCAACACCAGAAUGCUAUGGGUGUUCGAUUCAUCACAAUGUAACUAGAUUAUUGACUCUAGUGCAAGUGGGAGACUGUUGGAAAUAUGCCCUAGAGGCAAUAAUAAAUGGUUAUUAUUAUAUUUCUUUGUUCAUGAUAAUUGUCUAUUGUUCAUGCUAUAAUUGUGUUAUCCGGAAAUCGUAAUGCAUGUGUGAAUACAUAGACCACAACGUGUCCCUAGUAAGCCUCUAGUUGACUAGCUCGUUGAUCAACAGAUAGUCAUGGUUUCCUGACUAUGGACAUUGGAUGUCAUUGAUAACGGGAUCACAUCAUUAGGAGAAUGAUGUGUUGGACAAGACCCAAUCCUAAGCAUAGCUCAAAGAUCGUGUAGUUCGUUUGCUAGAGCUUUUCCAAUGUCAAGUAUCUUUUCCUUAGACCAUGAGAUCGUGCAACUCCCGGAUGCCGUAGGAGUGCUUUGGGUGUGACAAACGUCACAACGUAACUGGGUGACUAUAAAGGUGCACUACGGGUAUCUCCGAAAGUGUCUGUUGGGUUGGCACGGAUCGAGACUGGGAUUUGUCACUCCGUAUAACGGAGAGGUAUCUCUGGGCCCACUCGGUAAUGCAUCAUCAUAAUGAGCUCAAUGUGACUAAGGAGUUAGCCACGGGAUCAUGUAUUACGGUACGAGUAAAGAGACUUGCCGGUAACGAGAUUGAACAAGGUAUUGGGAUACCGACGAUCGAAUCUCGGGCAAGUAACAUACAGAUUGACAAAGGGAGUUGAAUACGGGAUUGAUUGAAUCCUCGACAUCGUGGUUCAUCCGAUGAGAUCAUCGUGGAACAUGUGGGAGCCAACAUGGGUAUCCAGAUCCCGCUGUUGGUUAUUGACCGGAGAGGCGUCUCGGUCAUGUCUGCAUGUCUCCCGAACCCGUAGGGUCUACACACUUAAGGUUCGGUGACGCUAGGGUUGUAGAGAUAUGAGUAUGCGGAAACCCGAAAGUUGUUCGGAGUCUCGGAUGAGAUCCCGGACAUCACGAGGAGUUCCGGAAUGGUCCGGAGGUAAAGAAUUAUAUAUGGAAGUCAAGUUUCGGCCACCGGGAAAGUUUCGGGGGUUAUCGGCAUUGUACCGGGACCACCGGAAGGGUCCCGGGGGUCCACCGGGUGGGGCCACCUAUCCCGGAGGGCCCCAUGGGCUGAAGUGGGAAGGGAACCAGCCCUUAGUGGGCUGGGGUGCCCCCCAUGGGCCUCCCCCCUGCGCCUAGGGUUGGAAACCCUGGGGUGGGGGGCGCCCCACUUGCCUUGGGGGGCAAGUUUCCCCCCUGGCCGCCCCCCCCUUAGAUGGGAUCCAGGCCAGCGCCCCCCCUCCCAGGGGGCCUAUAUAUAGUGGGGGGGAGGGAGGGCAGCAGUACCACAGCCCCUGGCGCCUCCCUCUCCCCCUGCAACACCUCUCCCUCUCGCAGAAGCUUUGCGAAGCCCUGCCGAGAUCCCGCUACAUCCACCACCACGCCGUCGUGCUGCUGGAUCUCCAUCAACCUCUCCUUUCCCCUUGCUGGAUCAAGAAGGAGGAGACGUCGCUGCUCCGUAUGUGUGUUGAACGCGGAGGUGCCGUCUGUUCGGCACUCGGUCAUCGGUGAUUUGGAUCACGGCGAGUAUGACUCCAUCAACCCGUUCAUUAGAACGCUUCCGCUCGCGAUCUACAAGGGUAUGUAGAUGCACUCCUUUCCCCUCGUUGCUAGUAUACUCCAUAGAUGGAUCUUGGUGAUGCAUAGGAAAUUUUAAAAUUCUGCUACGAUCCCCAACAUCAAGUAGUCAUCAUACCGAGCUUGUCAAACGUUCAUAACGUCUGCAUCUGCUCCUGCAAUAGGUCUGUCACCUAGCGGUGCAUCAAGGACAUAAUUCUUCUGUGCAGCAAUGAGGAUAAUCCUUAGAUCACGGACCAAGUCCGCAUCAUUGCUACUAUCAUCUUUCAACUUAUUUUUCUCUAGGAACAUAUCAAAAAUAAACGGGGAGCUACAUCGCGAGCUAAUGAUCUACAACAUAGUUAUGCAAAUACUAUCAGGACUAAGUUCAUGAUAAAUUAAAGUUCAAUUUAAUCAUAUUACUUAAGAACUCCCACUUAGAUAGACAUCCCUCUAGUCAUCUAAAUGAUCACGUGAUCCAUAUCAACUAAACCAUGUCCGAUCAUCACGUGAGAUGGAGUAGUUUUCAAUGGUGAACAUAACUAUGUUGAUCAUAUCUACUAUAUGAUUCACGCUCGACCUUUCGGUCUCAGUGUUCCGAGGCCAUAUCUGCAUAUGCUAGGCUCGUCAAGUUUAACCCGAGUAUUCUGCGUGUGCCAAACUAGCUUGCACCCGUUGUAUGUGAACGUAGAGCUUAUCACACCCGAUCAUCACGUGGUGUCUCGGCACGACGAACUUUCGUAACGGUGCAUACUCAGGGAGAACACUUGUACCUUGAAAUUUAGUGAGAGGUCAUCUUAUAAUGCUACCACCGAACUAAGCAAAAUAAGAUGCAUAAAGGAUAAAAAUCACAUGCAGUCAAUAUAAGUGAUAUGAUAUGGCCAUCAUCAUCUUGUGCCUUUGAUCUCCAUCUCCAAGGCACCGUCAUGAUCACCAUCGUCACCGGCGCGACACCUUGAUCUCCAUCAUAGCAUCAUUGUCGUCUCGCCAACUAUUGCUUCUACGACUAUCGCUACCGCUUGGUGAUAAAGUAAAGCAAUUAGAUGGUGAUUACCUUUCAUACAAUAAAGCGACAACCAAAUGGCUCCUGCCAGUUGCCAAUAACUUUGUUACAAAACAUGAUCAUCCACUAGUAGAAAAAGGGGCUUUCGUUCGGGCCUGGCCAGCCCAUUAGUCCCGAUUCUUAUACGAACCGGGACCAAUGGGUGCAUUCGUCCCGGUUCGUGAGCCCAGGUGGCCGGCCGGGGCCUCGUGGGCUUUGGUCCCGGUUCGUAUGGAACCAUUUGUCCCGGUUCUAGGCACGAACCGGGACCAAUGGGCCUCGCUCCUGGCCCACAACCAUUGGUCCCGGUUCCAGCCACGAACCGGGACAAAUGAGUUGCCUAUAUAUAUAGCCCAUCGCCGGCGAGCAGAGCACUCCACACUGCUCUAUUUUUUGCUGGCCGGCGAGGGGAGGGCAUUUGGGUGCUCUAGCUCACCUCCUAUGCACAUGAGGUGUUCGAUGAAAUGUCCGAGCCACACUAGUUAAUAUUUCUUCUCUCGAAACUCGACCUCCGAGCUCCAUUUUCCCCGAGAUUUUUCUAGGUUAUAAAAAGAUAAUAUAUACCACAUCCGAAUCAUAGACAGGAUGAGGGGCGACGGGGGCAGAUACCAGAACCAUCGCACUAUAUAAUAACAGUCCAGGCCCUGUCCCGUGGUAUCUUUGACCACACGCCGCUAUUUGUGGACUCUGGUGAGCCCUCCCACCCGGGGAACAAGGAUGUGCUCUCCUUUGAGAUGGCUUGGUUUGAACGUGAAGGCUUCCUUGAUCUCGUGGCUAGAGAGUGGGCUAAGGAUUCAGGAGGAAAGACUGCGCUUCAGCGCUGGCAGAAUAAGAUUAGGCACUUGAGGAGUUUCCUGCAUGGAUGGGCUAAGCAUCUUAGCGGGAUUUAUAAGGUUGAAAAGGAAAAGCUUCUUUCCCUUAUUCAGUCCCUGGAUGUAAAAGCAGAAACCACGAUACUGCCGGCCGCGGAGCUUCAUGCCAAGCUUGACGCGGAAUUGAGGCUGAAAGAACUUCUUAGGGAAGAAGAGUUGAGGUGGGCGUUGCGGGCCAAGGUCCGGCGAGUAGUCCAGGGGGACGCGAACACUCAAUUCUUUCACAUGAUUGCUAAUGGUAAGCAUCGAAAGAAGAGGAUCUUUCAGCUUGAGCAAGAUGAGGGUACAAUUGUAGGACAGGAAAACCUAAAAUUGUACAUACCUGAGUACUAUAAGCAGUUGUUUGGCCCUCCAGAAAAUAACUGUGUGUCUCUGGAUGAGUCCAGGGUUGAGGAUGUUCCUCAGCUCACAGCUGUGGAGAAUGAUAUUCUGACGGCUCCUUUCUCCGAGAAAGAGGUACUUGAGGCCGUUUCGCAAAUGAAAAAUAACAAAGUGCCGGGCCCAGAUGGAUUUCCAGCGGAGUUCUAUAAGAAAUGCUGGCAUAUCAUUAAAGGGGAUUUGUUUCCUUUGUUCAAUGAUCUGUUUGCUGGACAGCUUCAUCUUUUUCAACUAAAUUUUGGAACGAUCACCCUUCUUCCUAAGAAAACAGAGGCUGUGAGAAUUGAGCAAUUCAGGCCAAUCUGUCUUCUUAAUGUUAGUUUAAAAAUUGUCACCAAGGUCGGGACCAAUAGGCUCUCAUAGAUCGCGCAUGCUGUUGUGCAGCCUACCCAAACUGCCUUCAUGCCGGACAGGAACAUCCUUGAGGGGGUUGUGGUCCUUCAUGAAACGCUCCAUGAAAUCCACACGAAAAAGCUGGAUGGGGUUGUUUUCAAAGUGGAUUUCGAAAAAGCGUAUGACAAAGUCAAAUGUCCAUUCCUUCAACGGGCCUUACGCAUGAAGGGUUUUAAUGAGGCUUGGCGACGCCAGGUAGAAUCCUUUACGCAAAAAGGUAGUGUUGGAAUUAAAGUAAAUGAUGAUAUAGGGCAUUAUUUCCAGACACACAAAGGCCUGAGGCAAGGAUAUCCAAUGUCCCCUAUUUUGUUCAACAUUGUGGUUGAUAUGUUGGCAAUUCUCAUAGGCAGGGCAAAGGACGCUGGUCAGGUAGGUGGCUUGGUGCCUAACCUAGUUGAUGGGGGUGUGUCCAUUUUGUAGUACGCUGAUGAUACAAUCAUCUUUAUGGAGCAUGACUUGGCAAAAGCGAGAAACAUGAAGCUGGUGUUGUGUUUAUUUGAACAAUUGUCCGGUUUAAAGAUUAACUUUCAUAAAAGCGAGUUGUUCUGCUUUGGUAGAGCCAAGGAGGAACAAGAGGCUUAUAGGCAAUUGUUUGGAUGUGAAUUAGCGGCUUUACCUUUUACUUACCUAGGUAUACCCAUUCAUCAUCGUAAGCUCACGAACAGAGAGUGGAAAUGUAUCGAAGAUCGGUUCGAAAAGAAACUUAGUUGCUGGAAGGGCAAACUUAUGUCUUAUGGAGGCCGGUUAAUUCUUAUCAAUUCGGUGCUCACAAGUAUGCCGAUGUUCCUCCUAUCUUUCUUUGAGGUUUCAGUUGGGGUUAGGAAAAGGCUGGACUUCUAUCGAUCAAGAUUUUUUUGGCAGAGUGAUGAUCUUAAGAGAAAGUAUAGACUCGCCAAGUGGGAUGUUAUUUGUCAUCCUAAGGCUCAAGGGGGGUUGGGUAUCGAGAAUCUUGAGGUCAAGAAGAGAUGCCUGCUUAGUAAGUGGCUAUAUAAGCUAUCAGUUGAGACUGAUGCGACUUGGGCACAGAUUCUACGUAACAAGUAUCUGCAAUCCAAAACUUUGUCACAGGUGACAGUGAGACCAACUGAUUCGCCAUUUUGGAAGGGGCUUAUGAGAGUUAAGGCAGCCUUCUUUAAUAGAACAAAGUUUAUUGUCGGAGAUGGCAACGAUACUCGCUUCUGGGAGGACACUUGGCUUGGUGAUACACCUUUCGCAUUACAGUACCCAACUCUGUAUCGUAUUGUCCAUUGCCGUGAUGCGCUAGUGGCAAUGAUUAUGCAGGCCAUUCCCCUUAAUAUCCAGUUUAGGAGGGUGCUUGUUGGUGAUAGAUGGGAAGCUUGGCUUCAUCUGGUGCGUAGACUGAUGGAGGUCCAGCUACAUCAUCAGCCCGAUCAGUUGUGUUGGAAACUUACUAGGUCUGGACAAUUUACCGUUAAGUCGAUGUACAUCGAUGUUAUUAACUCGAGUGUCAUUCCUAGCUCCAAACAUGUUUGGAAAGUCAAAGUUCCUUUGAAAAUUAAAGUGUUUAUGUGGUUUGUCCAUAAACAGGUCAUUCUAACAAAGGACAACUUGGUUAAGCGCAAUUGGACAGGAUCUACUAGGUGUAGUUUCUGUGAUCGGGAUGAGACCAUUAAGCAUCUCUUCUUUGAGUGCCCGUUGGCGAGAAUUUUGUGGCGCUCCGUGCAAAUUGCCUUUAACAUUACUCCUCCGAGUUCGGUCGGGUCGUUAUUUGGAACGUGGAUGGAUGGGAUAGAGUCCGUUAUAGCUAGACACAUUCGUGUAGGAGUUUGUGCGUUGUUAUGGGCAAUUUGGAACUGCAGAAAUGAUUUGGCUUUUAACAGAAUAACUACUAUUCAUUUUUUUGCAGGUUGUAUUCCGUGCUACGGCGCUGAUCCGUAUGUGGUCCUUACUCACUCCGACGGAGGCCAGGGAGCGUUUGGUUACUGGAUCUGUCCGGUGGGAGAUGGUAGCGCGGGAUAUCUUCAACCGGUUUCGAUGGCGGUCAUGUAAUAGGAUAGGCAAUUAGUUUUCCUAUCUUUAUUAUGCCAGCCGGUUGUGGCUUUAUGGCCUUUUUCUGUUUUAGCGUCGAGGUCUAUGUGAGCUCGACUUUAUUUUGUUUUACGACUCUACGACAUUGUUGAACCAAUUUUAUUUAUCUAAGUGGUCGUAUGCAUCGUUCUGAUGCAGAGGCCGGGGAGUCCCCCCUUUUCGAUUUUUUUUAUUGUUUAUGACAAUUAUGCCGACCAACGUGACAUAUAUUUUAUUUAUGUAGGAGGUGGUUGAACCUGAAAUUCCAACCGACCCUAUUGUCGAGAGGUUAAAUUUAGUUGAAGAAGAAAACAAUUACUUGAAGGAAAAAAUUAAAAAAAUUGAGGAGGAGAAGAUGAUAUUGGAGUUGCAUGUUGCGGAUGUCGUCGAUGAUCACAAGAUCAAGAUGGAUGCAAUGCGGUUGAAGAUUAGAAAGAUUAGAAAAUAUGCCAUUCAUACCGAGGCUUGGUAUCAUUAUGCCGUUGGAUCAAUUGUUACCUUAGUUGUGAUUAUGAUCGCAUUUGUUGUUGCAUUGAAAGGUUUUACAUAGUUUCAAUGUAUGGUUUACCUAGAUGCUUUGGAGAGAUAUAUGUUGUUAAAUUUGAACUAUGUAUGUACUUUGGUUUUAAUGUGAUGAUGAACUAGUAUUAAUCUGGUCACUUAUCUAUCCAUGUUCAUUUGUAGUGCUUUUCAAUUUCAGGGUCUUAUAGCUGAAAAAAAUCAGUAAAUGCAUGAAAAAUAUCAAAUGAAGUCAGACAGGAUUGAAAAUUGAUGAUGUGGCUUUGAAUGGUGCAUUUUGAACACAGAAAAACUAUGGAGUUCAAAUAAGUUCAAAAAAUGAAAUCCCUUUGUAACAGACGAGUUUCCGUAUGAAACCCUGAUACUUCGAAAGAGAUUGUCCGUUUUGUACACGAAGUGCAUCCAGUUUUUGCCGUAAGCCUCUCUACUUUCUUGCACAUGCUAUGUGGNNNNNNNNNNNNNNNNNNNNNNNNNNNNNNNNNNNNNNNNNNNNNNNNNNNNNNNNNNNNNNNNNNNNNNNNNNNNNNNNNNNNNNNNNNNNNNNNNNNNNNNNNNNNNNNNNNNNNNNNNNNNNNNNNNNNNNNNNNNNNNNNNNNNNNNNNNNNNNNNNNNNNNNNNNNNNNNNNNNNNNNNNNNNNNNNNNNNNNNNNNNNNNNNNNNNNNNNNNNNNNNNNNNNNNNNNNNNNNNNNNNNNNNNNNNNNNNNNNNNNNNNNNNNNNNNNNNNNNNNNNNNNNNNNNNNNNNNNNNNNNNNNNNNNNNNNNNNNNNNNNNNNNNNNNNNNNNNNNNNNNNNNNNNNNNNNNNNNNNNNNNNNNNNNNNNNNNNNNNNNNNNNNNNNNNNNNNNNNNNNNNNNNNNNNNNNNNNNNNNNNNNNNNNNNNNNNNNNNNNNNNNNNNNNNNNNNNNNNNNNNNNNNNNNNNNNNNNNNNNNNNNNNNNNNNNNNNNNNNNNNNNNNNNNNNNNNNNNNNNNNNNNNNNNNNNNNNNNNNNNNNNNNNNNNNNNNNNNNNNNNNNNNNNNNNNNNNNNNNNNNNNNNNNNNNNNNNNNNNNNNNNNNNNNNNNNNNNNNNNNNNNNNNNNNNNNNNNNNNNNNNNNNNNNNNNNNNNNNNNNNNNNNNNNNNNNNNNNNNNNNNNNNNNNNNNNNNNNNNNNNNNNNNNNNNNNNNNNNNNNNNNNNNNNNNNNNNNNNNNNNNNNNNNNNNNNNNNNNNNNNNNNNNNNNNNNNNNNNNNNNNNNNNNNNNNNNNNNNNNNNNNNNNNNNNNNNNNNNNNNNNNNNNNNNNNNNNNNNNNNNNNNNNNNNNNNNNNNNNNNNNNNNNNNNNNNNNNNNNNNNNNNNNNNNNNNNNNNNNNNNNNNNNNNNNNNNNNNNNNNNNNNNNNNNNNNNNNNNNNNNNNNNNNNNNNNNNNNNNNNNNNNNNNNNNNNNNNNNNNNNNNNNNNNNNNNNNNNNNNNNNNNNNNNNNNNNNNNNNNNNNNNNNNNNNNNNNNNNNNNUAUAUAAAAUUCAUGCAACUAAAAUUAUCAAAGUAUUUUCUGUUCAAAAUCAUUAAAAGCAAAUAGAAUUUUCAUAAAGAACUUUUUUUGUUAGAAACUUCAAUAGCAAAAAGAAUUAUCAUAAAAUAAAAUAAAUAAGUAAUUAGAAACAAAAUAAAAUAAAAUAAAAUAAAUAAGUAUUUUGUUGUAAGUAGAAACGAAACAAAAAAAGCAAAAAAGAAAACAAAAAAACUGAGAAAAAAUAAAAAAUUGCCACCUACUGGGCCACCACGGCCUGAAUACGACUAGAAACCCAUCAAUGGGCCAGGAUUCAGGCUCGCAGAAGGCCCAGUAGGCCCAUCUGGCAUAGCAGUGACAAUUAGGCCCGUAAGCCUGCAAUAGAGAGGAGCUCGAGAGGGGUGCGGCAGUGGGGCUUAUAAACCACUGCGCGCCCCUCUCAACUAGCGAGGUGGGACUAAACUCCCACCACCACGCCGCUGUGCGCGGCCUUUGGUCCCGGUUGGUGGCACCAACCGGGACUAAAGGUGGGCAUUGGUACCGGUUCGUGCCACCAACCGGAACCAAUUCCCCCCCUUUAGUACCGGUUGGAGCCACCAACCGGUACCAAAGGCCGCCGCUUCCCGCCCUUUGGGCUGCUGAAAAGAGACCUUUCGUCCCGGUUGGUGGCACCAACCGGGACUAAAGAGGGGCAUUGGUCCCGGUUGCUGCCAUGAACCGGUACCAAUGCUCUCCGUAUAUAAGCAAGACUUGUAAAUUUUUCAGUUUCAUCGACCAUUUGCCCCCCGACGACGCCGAACUCAUCGACGCCGCCAGGCUGCCCGUGCUCGCCGUCGCCGCCCCGCACCCUUGCUGCCCGUGCUCGCCGACGCCGCUAGGCUGCCCGUGCUCGCCGUCGCCGCCCGCUCCUCGUCGCCGUCGNNNNNNNNNNNNNNNNNNNNNNNNNNNNNNNNNNNNNNNNNNNNNNNNNNNNNNNNNNNNNNNNNNNNNNNNNNNNNNNNNNNNNNNNNNNNNNNNNNNNNNNNNNNNNNNNNNNNNNNNNNNNNNNNNNNNNNNNNNNNNNNNNNNNNNNNNNNNNNNNNNNNNNNNNNNNNNNNNNNNNNNNNNNNNNNNNNNNNNNNNNNNNNNNNNNNNNNNNNNNNNNNNNNNNNNNNNNNNNNNNNNNNNNNNNNNNNNNNNNNNNNNNNNNNNNNNNNNNNNNNNNNNNNNNNNNNNNNNNNNNNNNNNNNNNNNNNNNNNNNNNNNNNNNNNNNNNNNNNNNNNNNNNNNNNNNNNNNNNNNNNNNNNNNNNNNNNNNNNNNNNNNNNNNNNNNNNNNNNNNNNNNNNNNNNNNNNNNNNNNNNNNNNNNNNNNNNNNNNNNNNNNNNNNNNNNNNNNNNNNNNNNNNNNNNNNNNNNNNNNNNNNNNNNNNNNNNNNNNNNNNNCCGACGCCGCCACACGCCCUCGGCCUGCCCCGACCACACGCCGCUGCCACGUUCGGUCCGGCCGCCGGCCUUCCUCUCUGUUUUUUUUCAUAUAUAUGAUAUUUUUUUAAGAUUAUGUGCAUAUGUGUGAUUAUAUGUAUGUGUGUAUAUAUGAUUAUAUGUCCUGUUUUUUUUCAGUUUUUUGUUCAUAUAUAUAUGAUGAUUUGUUUUUUGCAUUUUUAUAAAAAUGUAUAUAUGUAUGUAUGUUCUCUGUGUAUACAUGUUCAUAUAUGCAAAAGUUAGAUUUUAGAAAAGUUUUAUCUAUAUAUGUUCUCUGAUUUAGUACAUUUUAGGUUAGUUUCAUUUUUAGAAAAGUUUUAUAUAUUUAGGAAGAAGGAAGAGAAGGAAGAAGGAAGAAGAAGAAAAAGUUUUAUAUAUGCAAAAGUUACAUUUUUAGAAAAGUUUUAUAUAUCUUAGCUUUGAAAGGAGGAAGAAGAAAAAGAAUGAGAGGAAAAAGGAAAAUAAGAAGAGGAAGAAAGGAGAAGAAGAGGAGAAAUAAAUAAGAAGAGGAAAAAAAGAAGAAAAAGAAGAGGACUUUUUUCUUCGAUCUUCUCCUCUAUUCCUUUCUUCUUCUCCUUUUUUUAUUUCUUCUUCGUCUUCUUAUUUUUUAUCGGGUAUGUCGUUGUCGAUAUACCCCCUCCCGAUAACUUCAACAUGAGGGGGGGUCGAUAUACCCCCUCCCUGAUAACAUUAUUUUCCCAUUUAUGUAUGUCGUCGUUGUUGAUAUAAACCCCUCCCGGAUAACUUCGACAUGAGGGGCGGUCGAUAUAUAUACCCCCUCUCGACCGUGAUAACUUAUACCACGGGAGCACCCCCCCUCCCCGGCCCUCUCGCUCGACCAAAACUCUCGAGGACACCCAAACCCUAGAAAAAACGAUGUCGGUCUCCUACCCCCUCCAGCCGCGCCCCUACCCGAUCGACAAACUCUCUUGAGGCCACCCAAAUUUACCAAGUUAAAAGAGUGUUGUCGUCGAGGCCACCCCAAACCCCUUGAAGCGUUGUUGAGGCCACCCCAAACCCUUGAAGCGUUGCCGUGUUGUAAAUAUUUGAAUAAUAAUUGCCAUGUUGUAAUUAUUUGCAGAAACUAUGGAUCCGCACCCCCGAGACGAAGCAAAAGAAGCGGUGUUGGGGGAGAUAAUCGCACAUGGAAGUGAUGCCGUCUUGUCGUUUCUCAACGACACAUGCACCGAUGGUCUGGAAAGACAGGAUGAAGAAGCAGGCUACGACGAUGAUCAAACAAUGGAGGAGGAAGGACACCGUGAUGACGGCUCCGGUGACCGAAUGGAGGGGGAAGGACACCGUGAUGACGGCUCCGGUGACCGAAUGGAGGGGGAAGGACACCAUGAUGACGGCUCCGGUGACCGAACGAAGUCCGGCCAGGUAUAUAUAUAUAUUAGUUAAUUAAGAUGUGCUGACUAUAUAGCUAAUUGAUGCAUUAAUUGUUUUUGGUAUGUACACAUAUUAACUCUCUUCUUUUUCUUCUUUUCUAGCCCUCCGGAUCGAGCAACACUUCGGUAACGAGACGAGGCCCAAAGAGAAAGUUGCGCACGGAUGAAAGGUACACGAUCAUCGAAAUUGAUUGCGCUGGCCAACCGAUUGAACCCCUCCGGACCAAGAAAAAAUUUAAUGCUCAGUGCAGGGUUCUAGUUAGGGACAUGAUCCCGAUCAGCAUCAAGCAAUGGUUGAAGCCUAAGGACAUAGACUCUCAGGUGUCUUAUGUCAGUGAUAGGCAGAAAGCUGAUCUUUGGACCGCGCUGCAGGAAAAUUUCACCUUCCCGCCAGAGGAAGAUCCGGAGAAUCCAGUUAAAAAGCCAAUGAUCAAGGCUUAUGCUCUUAGGAAGAUGGCUGAGCUAUUCAGGAGGUGGAAGAAUGAGCUGAAAUCAUCGUUUGUCGACCAAGACAAGACUCCAGAAUUCAUCGGCCGAUUUGAGAAGAUCAAAGAUCAGUGCCCCGCAUUUGUCACCAAAAAGAAAUCCGAGAGAGCAGCGAAGAUGUCAGGGACAAACAAGAAGAAUGAUGCAAAGAAGAAGCAUCACCAUCGCACGGGGUCAGGUGGCUACCUGAAAGCCCAGCCGUUGUGGGACAAGGCUGAGAAUGACCUCAUUGAUAAAGGGAUCGAACCAGAGACGCGACGCUGGCCAGACCAUUGCAGGACUUGGUUCUUUGGGGUUGGGGGAAAAUUGGACCCUGUAACAGGGAAGUGCGUUUGGACCAAUGAGCAGCUGAACACACCCAUCGAGAAGCUUCAGGAGUAUAUCGAAAAAGCGCAGCAAGGGACCUUCGUUCCGGAUAGAGAGAACGACGAGCUCACAGAGGCCCUCGGGAAUCCUGAGCACCCCGGACGGACACGAGGCACUCCAGGCUCCCUUUCGUGGAAGGCUGGAUUUCCCGACGCAGGCGGUUACAAACGCCGGGAGAGGAAGAAGAAAAAGGAGUUGACCCAACUACAGGCGCUGCACGCAAGGGUACAAGCGCUAGAGGAACGAGACGCAGUUCGCUGCACGCGACCUGCCGAAGCUACACCCGAAGCUACCCCGCCAUCUCAGCGGAGAAGCAGCGUGGCUUCCACGGAGCUGCUUCAGGAGCCUGUCUUCACGGCUCCUGCUAGCUACCCCGUAGAUGCUAUCAUGGAGUCUCAGCAUUGCCACCUUAUGACGCAGUGGAUGGAAUUGAAAGUCAAGGCGGCUGUUGGCUCUGUUGCACCUCCUGAACCUAGCGCAACUUUUCACUGCCGACCGAUUUCCAGAAGGAUAUGCUAGGGUGAUGAUGGAUGAAAUCACAGAAGGAUUUGAGGACCUCCAGCUAGACCACCCUACGGGUGACGGGGAGACUCUGCUGGGUUCUUGUCUGAAGACUCCAUGCCUAUGGCGGAAAGAGCUCAUCAACCUUCCGAACUGGACGCCUCCACCUCCUCCUCCUCCUCUGGCGAGUCAGGGAACUCCGCCUCCUCCUCCGGCGAGUGACGAUCAGGGCACUCAGCCUCCUUCUCCGGCGCGUGGCGGCACUCCGCCUCCUUCUCUGCCUGCGCCGGCGCGCCCGAGCAGCCACCAGCCUCCUCCUUCUCCGCCUCGCCAGCAAGGGCGGAAGAGACCCGCCGCCGCCCCGGCUGCUCCGGCGCGUCAUAGUCCUUCUCCUCCGCCUCGUAAGCAAGCACGAAAGAAGACACCGCAGCCGCUUCGUCUGCUCCGGCGUCUAGCAGUACAGCCAGAGGCGGGAGGCAAUACAGAUAGGGUCCACCUCUCAAGCCUCUAGAGAAGUUACCGUACGAGAUGACCGUGGAAGAAAACAAGAAGAUCGUGCAAAAAGAAGUGAAGGACUUCUUUGAAGGGGCGAAAGCAGAGAGACAUCCACCUCCGAAGGAGAAGGUAGAUCCGGUGAAAGCAAAGCGCACUAUCGAUGCCCUGAGGAAACCACCAAAGUCUCCGCCGAAAACCAACUAUGAGCGCGUUACUGAAGAGGCAUAUCUCGAAGCGGAGCGGUCGGGAAGUACUGUCAGUGAUCAAAGGUUAAAAGAACGACGAGCAGCUGGGAAAAAAAUUGUCCAGCUCGGCGAACAAGCGAACCAAUCGUGCCCCCCGCUCAAUGUGUCUAGCGACGUCGUCGCUAAUGCUCCGGGGAUGGUGCCUGGUUAUAGCAAUCUUGGAGAUUACCUGCCCGACGAUGUACAUUAUGAUUUCUUGGAGGUGGACGAACACAGAUACGAGUACGGGAAGCCUCUCGUCAAAGAUGAAAAAUCUCUAACAACGAUGAUGCGAAGAUUCCAUGAUUGGUACAUGAAAACCUGCAGAGAGUCUGGGGGGACGAAUACUUUGUAUCUGAGAGUUAAAGAGGAGCACGACCUCGUUGGAAUUGAUCUGUUGCAUGUUCCAUUUGAGGAGUUCUUCCGGUUCUUCAAUCAAAAGGCCCUCGAUAAAUUAACGGUCACUUGCUACUGUCUGUAAGUACUACUUCUGUCAUUAAGUCUCUAUAUAUAGCUCAGCUCUUUCAUUGCAUGUUUUUAUAAUUAUCCUCACUAUAUUAUGCAGAUUGAAGAUCGUCGAGUGCAGAAAAGCAGAAAUGUAUGAUAUUGGGUUCAUUAACACAAAUCUCAUAGAUGAAUUUCAGGUUAAAAAGGGCGCCAAAGAUGCCGAGGCCAACUUGCUCAAAUCAUUGCUAAUAAAUCAAAACAAAGAUUUAAUACUCUUUCCUUACAACUUCAAGUGAGUGUUACUGUCGUGUGCAUAUUCGGUUUCCCUUAUUACUCGAGCGAGGUUAUAGUAAUGUAUUUGAUGAGUUAUGCAUGCGUGCGCAGCUUCCACUAUAUUCUCCUGGAGAUUAAGCUUGAGCGGGGACUAGUAACCGUCUUAGACUCGAGACGAAAAGAUCCCGGGACCUAUGCGGACAUGACUAAAAUUCUCAACAAGUAAGUUCAAUCGAUCAUUAUCGCACCAUAUCGGCAACGUUUUGUUCAUUUCCUGAUAUCUCAAGUAAUAAUUAUUUUCUUUGUCUUGCAGGGUUUGGAAACAGUUCACCGCAGAAGCUCCGGGACUGCCGAAGGAGCUGCGAUAUACAUACCCGAAAGUAAGUACUACUAGCUAGCUAGUUGCGGGCAUCUCCCGUUGAUUCUAGCUACUUUCAUCAAUGCCAUUUAUAAUGCUUCAUUAUCAGUUUGAUUGACCUCUAUUUCUCGUAAAGUGCUUGUGGCAGGAACAAGGAAAUGAUUACUGUGGAUACUACGUGUGCGAGUUCAUCUACAACGCGACUUGCAAAGAUAAGCGGGGCUACUCUAAAAGACAAUAUGAAGUGCGUAAGCAAUAAUAUUCACAAUUUCAUUUUAUUACACCAUCAUUUCUGUUGAGUUUCAUUCAUAUAUAUGUAUUAACCCCCUUCUUCAAAUUAGACGUGGCAGAUGCGGAAUGAACUCCUACCACAAGAUCGCAUGAAAGCAAUUCAAGAGGAAUUGGCGGGAUUUUUUCUUGACCACGUCAUCAAUAAAGCCGGAGAAUACCAUGUGGAAGUUGAGUUCAAAUGCUAGGGGAUUGUAAGAGAUCUUACAUAUUGUAUAUGUAUGUAGCCAGUAGCGUCGGAUAGAUAAUAUGAAAACUUUUUAUUCGACCAAUCUCUCUGAGAAGGAGAGGUCGAUUACUUCUCUCGGUAUGCAUGACGAACUUCUGUACUUAAUGGUUUCCUUCAUUUUCUUACUAGCUAGCGUGUCGAGGGUCUCUCUAUACGUAUAGUACGUAGUGUCGACCAAGCAUGGAGAUAAGAGAGGACACUUCUCUCUAUUAAUUAAUUAGCUACCUAACACAAUAUAUGAAACACCUUAAUUAACCAUACAAAACCCCCAAAUCCACCCCCCCCUUUCAGAAAAAAAACAAAAACCCUAGCCCCUGAACAGCUGACACGUGGAUGCCUAUUGGUCCCGGUUGGUGCCACCAACCGGGACUAAAGGGCCUCCUGCCUGGGCUCGCAGCACCGGCCACGUGGAGGCCCAUCUGUCCCGGUUAGUAUAAGAACCGGGACUAAAGGCCUAGGCAUUAGUAACGACCCUUUAGUCCCGGUUCCCCAACCGGGACAGAUGGGCCUUAUGAACCGGGACAAAUGGCCCUUUUUCUACUAGUGAUCUCAUACAAUAAAAUUUAGCAUCAUGUCUUUACCAUAUCACAUCACAACAUGCCCUGCAAAAACAAGUUAGACGUCCUCUACUUUGUUGUUGCAAGUUUUACGUAGCUGCUACGGGCUGAGCAAGAACCGUUCUUACCUACGCAUCAAAACCACAACGAUUUUUCGUCAAGUGUGUUGUUUUAUCCUUCAACAAGGACCGGGCGUAGCCACACUCUAUUGAACUAAAGUUGGAGAAACUGACACCCGCCAGCCACCUGUGUACGAAGCACGUCGGUAGAACCAGUCUCGCGUAAGCGUACGCGUAAUGUCGGUCCGGACCGCUUCAUCCAACAAUACCGCCGAAUCAAAGUAUGACAUGCUGGUAAGCAGUAUGCCUAUUAUCGCCCACAACUCGUUUGUGUUCUACUCGUGCAUAUAACAUCUACGCAUAAACCUGGCUCGGAUGCCACUGUUGGGGAACGCAGUAAUUUCAAAAAAAAAUCCUACACACACGCAAGAUCAUGGUGAUGCAUAGCAACGAGAGGGGAGAGUGUAGUCCACGUACCCUCGUAGACCGUAAGCGGAAGCGUUAUGACAACGUGGUUGAUGUAGUCGUACGUCUUCAUGAUCCGACCGAUCCUAGUACCGAAAGUAUGGCACCUCCGCCAUCUGCACACGUUCGGAUCGGUGACGUCCCACGAACUCUUGAUCCAGCUGAGUGUCGAGGGAGAGCUUCAUCAGCACGACGGCGUGAUGACGGUGAUGAUGAAGCUAGCGGCGCAGGGCUUCGCCUAAGCACUGCAACAAUAUGACCGAGGUGGAUUAUGGUGGAGGGGGGCACCGCACACGGCUAAGAGAUCAAUGAUCAACUUGUGUGUCUAUGGGGUGCCCCCUCCCCCGUAUAUAAAGGAGUGGAGGAGGGGAGGGCCNNNNNNNNNNNNNNNNNNNNNNNNNNNNNNNNNNNNNNNNNNNNNNNNNNNNNNNNNNNNNNNNNNNNNNNNNNNNNNNNNNNNNNNNNNNNNNNNNNNNNNNNNNNNNNNNNNNNNNNNNNNNNNNNNNNNNNNNNNNNNNNNNNNNNNNNNNNNNNNNNNNNNNNNNNNNNNNNNNNNNNNNNNNNNNNNNNNNNNNNAGGAUCCCCCCCUUCCCUAGUUGGACUAGCUAGGAGAGAAGGAAGGGGGAGAGAGGGAGGAAGGAAAGGGGGGCGCCGCCCCCCUCCUAGUCCAAUUCGGACCAGAGGGGGAGGGGGCGUGCGGCCUGCCCUGGCUGCCCCUCUCUCUCUCCACUAAAGCCCAUUAGGGCCCAUAUACUCCCCGGGGGGUUCCGGUAACCCCCCCUGUACUCCGGUAUAUGCCCGAACUCUCAAGAAACCUUUCCGAUGUCCAAACAUAGUCAUCCAAUAUAUCGAUCUUUAUGUCUCGACCAUUUUGAGACUCCUCGUCAUGUCCGUGAUCAUAUCCGGGACUCCGAACUACCUUCGGUACAUCAAAGCACAUAAACUCAUAAUACCGAUCAACACCGAACGUUAAGCGUGCGGACCCUACGGGUUCGAGAACUAUGUAGACAUGACCGAGACUCAUCUCCGGUCAAUAACCAAUAGCGGAACCUGGAUGCUUAUAUUGGUUCCUACAUAUUCUACGAAGAUCUUUAUCGGUCAAACCGCAUAACAACAUGCGUUGUUCCCUUUGUCAUCGGUAUGUUACUUGCCCGAGAUUCGAUCGUCGGUAUCUCAAUACCUAGUUCAAUCUCGUUACCGGCAAGUCUCUUUACUCGUUCCGUACUGCAUCAUCCCGCAACUAACACAUUAGUCACAUUGCUUGCAAGGCUUAUAGUGAUGUGCAUUACCGAGAGGGCCCAGAGAUACCUCUCCGACAAUCGGAGUGACAAAUCCUAAUCUCGAUCUAUGCCAACUCAACAAACACCAUUGGAGACACAUGUAGAGCACCUUUAUAAUCAUCCGGGUACGUUGUGACGUUUGGUAGCACACAGAGUGUUUCUCCGGUAUUCGGGAGUUGCAUAAUCUCAUAGUCAUGGGAACAUGUACAAGUCAUGAAGAAAGCAAUAUCAACAUACUAAAGGAUCAAGUGCUAAGCUAACGGAAUGGGUCAAGUCAAUCACAUCAUUCUCUAAUGAUGUGAUCCCGUUAAUCAAAUGACAACUCAUGUCUAUGGCUAUGAAACUUAACCAUCUUUGAUUCAACGAGCUAGUCAAGUAGAGGCAUACUAGUGUCACUCUAUUUGUCUAUGUAUUCAUACAUGUACUAAGUUUCCGGUCAAUACAAUUGUAGCAUGAAUAAUAAACAUUUAUCAUGAUAUAAGGAAAUAUAAAUAACAACUUUAUUAUUGCCUCUAGGGCAUAUUUCCUUCACAUUUGUUCAACAUGAUCAACCCCAUUUUAAGGUUUAGUAUGCAUUUUGUUAUGAAAAAACUAGUAUACACAUGUGUGGUCGAUGAAAAAUAGUAUACGAGCCGACAACUCGACCUGAUAACACCAAAUCUUUUUACUCCGAAAACAGAUGCAGCGAAUUAUCUUACUUCCAAAGAUGUUGUGCCUAGAAUCCAGAAUCCACACACCCAGAGAAUUACAGAUUUGAAACACUGAAGUCAGAGGCUUAGAGCAACUCCAACGCGCCGACCAAACGGACGACGCGUUUUUCCGCUUUUUGUCCUUUUGGGCCGGCCGCCCACUCGGCGUCCGCCCUGUUUGAGAUUUGGGUCGGCGGUGCGCCCAACGACCGCAACCCAUUUCAUGUUCGCACGCAAAUUUUGAAAAAGGCCCGCGGCCAUAGAUCAAGCCAGCGGCCACGUCGUCGCCCGGAGUUCACGCCGGCACCAUGCCAGCGCCGGCAUACAAUGCCAGCUUCUGAAAAACACCACAUAGUUCAGCUGGCACACUUGCCAGUGGCCGACACACAUGCCAGCACACAAAAAGGGGCAGGAGUUCGACCACGCCAUCGCGGCCAUGGUAAUGCCAGCACACUUGCCGACAUACCAAAAAGGAUGGCGGUCGCCGCCAUAGGUCACUCGUCGUGGAACUUGAGCAUGUCGGCCUGGAUCUUCUCAAACCACAGCCUCUUCCUUGGUGACAUGGUGCUGAGAUCCACCUUCAUGAUCUCCACCCCCGUCAUCAUGCUAGCGAGAGCCACUUCUUUCGCCUUGGUCUUUGCAUUGGCGGCCUCGAUCUCAAGCAUCUUGGCUUGCUCCUCCGCCUCCAUCUCAAGCAUCUUGGCUUGCUUGUCCGCUUCCAUCUCAAGCCUCCUCCUUUGGAUCUCCAUUAAGGCGUUCAUUUGCUCUUCCUUGUCUCAACGGCGCUUCUCCUCGCUUGAGUCCUUUUUGGUCAUCAUGUCCUCCACGCUUGCGACAAAGGCGAUCGACGUGACAUCCCGCUUGUCCUCCUUCUUGGAGGUUGUCUUCCCCCACGGUCGUGGCUUCUCGCCAUCCCCAACCUCCUCCACGGCCUUCUUACCCCCACGCAACAUGAGGGCGGUAUAUUGCGCCUUGACCUUCUCCUCGUCUUUGAUGACCCUCCAACAAUGUGAGAGGUUGAAGGACUUCCCAUCGUGUUGGACCUUGAAUGCCUCCAAAGCUUGGAAUGCCUACAAAUGAAUUGCAUGCAAGCAUAUUGGCAAAUGGAAAUGGACAUGGAAGCAUAAACGGAAUGACACAAAGAGGGGCGCUUGCUAGCAUACCAUGUCUUGCAUGCCGAUGCCGCUCACGGGGCGUGCCAUGAUGCUCUCAAGAGUGGCACAAAACUUGUUGCACUCUUGUUGGAUCACCUUCCAACGCUUCAAAAUGGACACCCACCCGCGCGUGCUUUGCAUUUGGUACGGCGGAAACUUCUUGCGCUCAUGGAACUCACAAUGGACACGGGUCCAAAAGGUGGAUGCCUUUUGUUCGGCGCCGGUCUUGGGGUCUUGCCCAAUGUCCCUCCAACACUCACAAAGGAGCUUGUCCUCGGCCGCCGUGUAUGCCUUGGUCCGCCUGCUCUUGCGCUUCGGCUUCGCCCCGGCGGCUUGGUUGGCGAGCUCGUCCUCGGACAAAGGCUCCCCUUCGUUGUCCAACUCAUCCUCUUCCUCGAGUACGUAGUCCUCCGGAAACUCGUGGUCGAGCGGGAAGCCGUCCAGGUCCAGGCCGACCUGAUCAUGCAUGAAGGCGACCUGGUCUUGAUCAAAGGUGGACGGCCUGAACGGCCCUCGGCCGUCCUGGCUUUGUGUCUCGUCGAGAUCGUAGGCAGCCCCGGCGGCACCGCCAGCGGCCGCCGCACCACCCUCGAAGAUGAUGUUCUGCAUGUAGUCGUCGUCGCCGGAAGCCGGCAUUCCGCCGAACAGGUUGCGGGCGCCCGACAGCACGUCGGUUGGCAUGUGCCGCGCGCGUUUCCUAGCCCCUCCGGAUGAUGAGCCACCGGGCACCGGUGUGGCGUUGAGGUCGAUGGGCGCGGGCAUGGAGGCGCCACCACCCUCACCUCGGGGGAGCGUUCACCGGAGAGUCGGGAGGCUUGUGGGUAGACGUGGAAGCCGGGAAUCGGCUGCGUCGCCGACGCGCGGGGCGAGUCGGGCAGCACCAUCCGAGGAAACGCAGAUGAGCCGGUGUUGGCCGCGGCCACGGCAUCGUUGACAAGGCCGUGCUGCCCAGGGUUUAACCCUAGGUACAUCAGCGUCUCCCUCGUUGCCGCCGCGACGCGGGCGUUGGUGGCCUCCUACUGCGCGGCGUCCAUCGCGAUGGCUUCCUCCAUUGCAUCUGCUGCGUGCCUCCGGCCCUUUCUCUUCGCCGACUCCCUUAACCGCUCCUCGGGCGUCAGCUUCUUCUUCGGCUUGGGCGUGGCGGCGGUCUUGCGGGGGGCGCGAGGCUUGCCUUUGCCGGAGGGGCGGUCGUGAUGCCCGACGAGGCGAGGGAGGCAAGGCUGGCGGCGGCAUCAAGGUCGUCGUCCAUGGCGAGCGGCGGGAGCGCGCAGGCGGGAGGGUUUUGGCAAAAUUGACGAAAAUGGUGGAGGCUGCCACCGACUGGCAGGCCAGGGGGAGGAAUAGGCGGGCGCCGCACGCGUCCGCCUCGUGUCCGUGCCGACGCAAACGAGGCUAAAAAAUGGGCCCGGAAUGGGUCGGAGGUGGUCGAAAAGCGGAUGCGCGUCCGUUUGGGUCGGCGUGUUGGGCCGACUUUUCUGUCCGCGCCGAUCCAAACGGACGCGCGUGGACGAAAUGGGUCGCCGCGUUGGAGUUGCUCUUACUGUCUCAUCAUACAUGCAGCAAAACAGAGGCAGCGAAUCCACACACCCAGAGGCCAGAGGAUUACAGAUUUGAAACACUGAAAAUUUAGCUCGCUGGAACUCUUAAGACAGUUACUGGACAUGAUGCACCACCACAUGCCUCCUCUUGGGAACUUGCUGGCGAAAAAAGGGCACUUGCGUGCGGGCCACGGGUCGCUUUUGGUUGCUAUCGACGCAUGUCGACGGCCACCGGCCACCGGGAUCAACUGGCGAGAUCCCGGUCCUCCAGUGAAGCAACAGCAGUAUGUACAACAACCAACGUGGGUGGAACUGGAAGCACCCCAGCCCGGUAAAACCGUCAGGGCAAUCACGGAAACCGAUGCACCACAUGUGCCAUGCAACGAUGGGAGAGGAGAGAGCACACAUGGGUGUGGGCCCGUCGCUGCCGACCACAGCACACGGCGCACGGCGAUCGAUCGACGGCCGGCCACCGAGCAGGAUCAGACCGGGGAGAUUCACUGCGUACGUGCUCCAGUUACGCAGCGGCAGCAGCGCAAGAGAUCCAAACAAAAUCUAAUCGGCCAGCAAUAAUGCAGCUACAGUAGAGAGGGGAAGCUCAGCCAUGGAAUGGGAUCGACGGAGCCCGUGAGCCCGCUCGUCACCAUGCUGGAGCUGUAGUGGCCGCCACGUGAGACUGACUGGGCUUUCACUUGCCCUCGUUGGACGGCUAGGGGAGGAAGCUCAGCUCAGCCAUGGAAUCGACGGAGCGCGUCAUCUCACCCGUCACGUUGCUGGCUGCCACAUCACGACUGACUGGGCUUUCACUCCCCUUCGCCCUCCUCCUCCGGGUGGACACGUGUGCGGUCCACGGGGUCGCAUGGUGGCGGAUGCUGACUCGGCUCCGCCUCGGCCGUGUGUAUCAUGCGUAUGUUCUUUCUUUGACAGUGAGACGGCAGGAGAGGUCCAAAACAUGCUUCCCUUUUUUUGGGAUUUUUAUUAAACCUCCGAUAACUAUGCGUAGGCACGUCAACUUUUCUUAGAUCUUUGGAGUCCGGUAUACAUUUUUCGAGUUUUCGGAAAUGGUUGCGGAUGCUGACUCGGAUCUGCCUCAGCCGUGCAUAUCAUGCAUGCGUAUGUUUUUUCUUUUUCUUUGACAGUGAAACGGCAGGAGAGGUCCCAAUUCCCAAACAUGGUUCCCUUUUUCUAGGAUUUUUCAAACUUCCAAAUAUGCAUAUGCACGUCAACAUCCAAAUAUUUGAAACCUCCAAAUAUGUCAUGGUACUCGGUCCUUCCCAUUUUGUGGCGCAUUAGCCUCGGCGCCGAAACCAAAGAGGUAUGAAUAUGCCGCUUCUUGGAAAUAAUUAUAUUUGAGACUUCCAAAUAUGUACUCGCUCCGUCCGGAAAUACUUGUCGCAUAAAUGGAUAAAAAUGGAUGUAUCUAGAACUAAAAUACGUCUAGAUACAUCCAUUUCGAUGACAAGUAUUUCCGGACGGAGGGAGUAGCAUAUAGUAAUAUAUACCCAUGGUUUUCCUUUUUUGGAGUUUUGGAACUUCCAGGGAUGCUUUUUCGAGAUUUCAGAAAUGCCGAAAUCGGAAUCGCACCUUAUACUAUAGACCAGAAAGUGUACACGCCAGAUAAAGCCCAAACAAACAGCAUCUCCGCUCCGGAAUAUUAGGAUCGCACGAGGCGAUCUAGGAGGCGACGAGGGUUCCCUUGCGCGCCACCGGUGGCGCCGCCGGUUCCCUCUCUCUCCGCCGGCCGCUCCGGCGGCGGGAGGGAGGGGGAACCUCGGGUCUGUUCGCUUGGUGGGUGUGUGGCAGGGUUAGGGUUGAGGGAGACGCUGCCGAGGCCGUUGCGGUGGCGUCGCGUCGGAAUAAGUUUCUCCGGGCUCCGUUCGCGGUCAGGCGAGGCUUUUGCCUUUGUUUAGGAGCCAGCGGAGUGGGGGAUCCCCGGAUCUCGUCGAGGUCGCGGGCUAUGGUUUAUGGAGGUCCAUUGGCACUGGCUGUUUGGGUCCUCAGAUGGGCGAUGGAUGCAGGGAGACGAAGACCCUUCUUCUUCCUUGUCGGUAUGAUUUGUUGCUGCUGUUCUUCUCCUUCCUCUGCGCCGAUGCUGGUGGGAGAUCUUGCUUUGUCCGGGCGGAUGGCCCGACCGCGGUGCUGGACCGAUCGGAUGACUCGAGUUCUCUUUCUUCCGGAAGGGACACUUUUCGCGGUACUCAAAGCCAAAGAUGGCGACGGCUGUUGCAGGUGUGUUGGAUUGAUGUCCAUGCCCUCUCAGUGCUGGUGUCAAGAAAAGGGGAAGCAGCGUGGCGGCAAUUGUACCGUGGUCGAAGACGAUGACCUGCUUGCGCCUGGUUGCAGAUCCUUCUACUGCAGGGGUCUUCUCUCAAGAUCCAGGGAUGAUGACACAGGGCUCCGGAGAUCUUCUUGUGUUAUGGAUGUCUUAGGGUACUCUAGGUGUUCAUGGUCCUUUGUGUUUGCGUUUCAGUGUGCUUGUAAGGAUCAACUAUUUUGUACUGUUUUGUAAUUUGAAUGAAAAAUUCUCAAAAAAAAAAGUGUACACGCCCAACAAACCGGGAAGGGUGCGCUGUCAUGGAACGCCCGUUUGCGGACCAAUGAGGCAACUAAACCCUAAAUACAUUGUUUAAGAAUGUAAGCAUGUACUACACAUAUAUAGACCCACGAUAGCACCACAAAGUAUAUUCGAUGCAUGGUCGGCCACCCGCCACAGAUCCCGGCGACGAUCACCACCACGGUGACCUCUUCAUGUUUGUUGCAUGUAUUGUAUAUAAACACUAGCUAGAGAACAAAUGAUGUUUGCCAGUGGUGAUUUCACAACGAAAAACGACGCUUGCCCCAUGCACCAUGGGUCCAUGUAUGUGAUCGGCCAGGCCCCACUUGCAAGCCUCAGUUCUCUUAAUAACUGGACGAACGGACGGACGAACGCCUCCCCACAUGCUCGUUGCAUCUUGUUUAAUUAAAGGCAACAAAGUUGAUUUGCUUCUCUGCUGCAUUGGUAGAGAACAAGACACUGCAUCUGCAUCUGCAUUAUUGUGCUGGAGGCUCCGGAGGACGAUGGCUACAUGAACGACACUGUGGGGUUGGUGAGGAGGAGCCCAUGGAUGAAAGCGACAGCAACGGCGGAGAGGCUAAUUCUAGUCUGUAGACUGACCUUGAUAUUAUGGCGUGAAGUGACCACAUUCUUCUUACAAACAAAGCAUAAUUUUACUUUUAAAGACGAUGCCUUCGACCAGACGUGAAGCUCAUUCUAGGAUCCGCUGCUCACAAAAAUUCAUUUGGCAAGUUUUUGUUUUUGUUUUUUGAGGUAGCAAGUAUUUUGAAUUUGAUUCACGAUUUUGACUGGGUCAAUGAUUUCUCAAAUCAAUCGGCACCAAUGAGCCUGUAAAACACAGCAAUCCCAUACACCCCUUUCAUCACCUAAAAAAGGAUACGCUAACAGAUGCACUGUAGCAUCAAUAUAGUACACGUGGUCAUCAAAGCAAGAAAUUGUCCAUGUAAAUAUGGGUUGAUUAGCAUAAAACACAGAACCAUACCGUCAAAAAGGCCACUAAAACACUGCAUUAUAAAAGAAAACACUUCACCAUGUUCCUCCCACACAAAUCAAUUUUUAUCUUUAUGAAAUCCCAACAACACAAACGGCGCAACGGAGACCAACCCUUCUAGUUUGAUUACUCCAGUAUGUAUAAAGGCGUCUCCAAAUAGUCGAGGGAUAGUUGUUGGCACAUUGUGUCACAUAGAAUAUAUUAUGACCCAGCAUAGAAUAAAUUCAGAUGUUUCCACACUUCUUUUUGAGAGAAGUGCUCCCACACACUAGGCAUUCCCAUGCUCCCAUUUCUAUCUUUUGAAAAGUUCCAUCCUUUUGUGAUUGUUCCCUAGACAUGGUUCUAGCUAGAAUCUUAGUUUUGUCUUUGACAGGGAAACAUAUUCUGAGAGGUUCCUCCCCCCUUUUUAACGAAAUAAAAUUCUUCCUUUUCUAUAAUUCUGAAACUUCAAAGUAUGCAUAUGCAUGACAACUUUUUCCGGUUCGUUGAAAUCUAAAAGAUAUUUGUGAGAUAUUUUUAAAAUGUCAAGUUCUAUGGAGACCCAGAGCCAAAUCAAUUGCUCUCAGGCACAAGGGCCCUUGACAGAGGCACUUGAUGAAAACGGUGAGUUGUCUAUGCUUGUCCGAACGCAACACCCUAUGGAGAGGACGAUCGAGAGUAGGACAAAUGAACAACCGCUGACUUACCUUAAGGGCGUCUGAUGUGGGACUACAUCCCUCCCAAUUUCUAUUACGACACAUUAGUCUCGACACCGAGGCCAUGGAGGGUGUACAUAUGAUAGUUUUUUUUUUUUGAAACUUCUAGAUAUAGUCAAGUUGGUUUUUGGAUUUUUGGAACUUCCAAAGGCGUUUUUCAAGUUUUCAAAAAUACCAAGUUCCAUGGUGACCGGAAUGGCACAAUGUAUACGCCCAACCAGGAAGGGGGGAUUAUCAUGGUAGGCCCACAUUCAACCACCAAUUAGGUAAAUAAACCCUAUAUCAUCAUUUGUUUAAGAUGUAGGCGUGUACAGACAGAGAUCCAUGACAUGGUGGCACCACAAGUGGGAAGGGCGUAUAUUCCAUGGACGGGGAUCGCCGGUCGGCCAGUGGCCGCAAUCUCGGCGACGAUCACAACGGUGUCCUUUCUUUCGAUGCAAAUAAAAAACACGAGGUAGAGAACAAAUGAUGGUUGCCACCCUGCAUGCAUCAUGCAUGUGAAUAUGUGAUCGACCCGACCUGGCCCCAGUACAGUACGUAGUAGCCUCUGUUCUCUUAAAUGGACGGACGGGCGUACGCCUCCUUCUUGGUCUUGGACACCAGCACAUGCUUAUUGCAUUUUAUUAAGCCAAGUAGUGGGAUAUUUUUAGCUACUGUACUAGUGCAUUGGUAGAACUAGAAGGCUCUGCAUCUGCAUUUCUGCACACAUAUAAUUGAGUUGCAGGCCUGGAUGAUUGCUACGUGCCUCCAUGAACGACAGUGGUCUGUGGGGUUGGUGAUCACUAGUAGAAAAAGGGUCUAAUGUAAAACUCAUUAGUCCAGGUUUGGUAUUGAACCGGCAUUAAUGUGACCAUUAAUGCCGGUUCCAACGGCCAGGCGGGCGGCGCUCAUUAGUACCGGUUCGUGACGAAUCUUUAGUACCGGUUCGUGCCACGAACCGGUACUAAAGAGGUGGUGGCCUUUAGUACGGGUUGGUGGCUCCAACCGGUACUAAAGGUGGGGUCUUUAGUACCGGUUGGAGCCACCAACCGGUACUAAAGACCACCUUNNNNNNNNNNNNNNNNNNNNNNNNNNNNNNNNNNNNNNNNNNNNNNNNNNNNNNNNNNNNNNNNNNNNNNNNNNNNNNNNNNNNNNNNNNNNNNNNNNNNNNNNNNNNNNNNNNNNNNNNNNNNNNNNNNNNNNNNNNNNNNNNNNNNNNNNNNNNNNNNNNNNNNNNNNNNNNNNNNNNNNNNNNNNNNNNNNNNNNNNNNNNNNNNNNNNNNNNNNNNNNNNNNNNNNNNNNNNNNNNNNNNNNNNNNNNNNNNNNNNNNNNNNNNNNNNNNNNNNNNNNNNNNNNNNNNNNNNNNNNNNNNNNNNNNNNNNNNNNNNNNNNNNNNNNNNNNNNNNNNNNNNNNNNNNNNNNNNNNNNNNNNNNNNNNNNNNNNNNAAAGGUGGUGCGCUGCCACCCGCAGUGCACAAUGUUUAGUCCACCUCACUAGUAGAGAGGAGCUCGCACCGUGUCGAGCUCCUCUCUAAGCAGGCCUUUGUGGGCCUAUUGCAAGUCUUCUGCCCUAUGGGGCCUACUGGACCGUACGGGCCUGCAUCCUGACCCAACUAGAGAUUGGGUUUCUAGUCGUACGCAGGCCGUGCCGGCCCAGUAGACUGGCUGUUUUUGCUUUAUUUCAAAAAUAAAAAUAAAAAAAUCCUUACUAACCGGGACUAAAGGUCCCCCGGACCACGGCGCGCCUCGUGCCACGUGAUGGGCCUUUGGUCCCGGUUCGUGUUAAACCGGUACUAAAGGAGGGGACUUUUAGUCCCCAUUACAAACCGGUGAUAAAACUCUGUUUUCUACUAGUGGAUGGAUCGAUGCAGGAGGGAGGAUCCUGCAGCUGAACGCGUGGGUGAUGGCCACAGCAACGACGGAGGUUGAUUUGUAGUACUCCUUGGCUGCGUGCCUGCCUACCUGUCCACGAUCGAGGAGGUACGCCUUGCCAGGGAGUGUGGUGAAGCCGAGAUUAUUUGGAGGUUCGGUCGGCAAACUCCUCCGGCCACUCCAACUCUCCGGCAUACAAUCGUGCUAAUUCAAACAACAUAUUACAAGGGAAAACAAAUGGAAGUGUUAUGACUGUGCGCGGUGAUUUACUAUGUUCUGGCUUCGUUCUGGUCGCUCAGAGAGUGUGCGGGAGUACGUAGGAUGCCGGCCGCCUUGUACCAAUGGGGAAACAGUUCUCAUAUAAACAACUCAUACGCCCAACAAACACGGUGGACCUAUUCGGCCACCAAUGAAGUAAACAUCUAUAGAUUGUUUAAUGAGUAAGAUGUAGGCGUGUACUGCACAAUAUUCGGUCGAUAGGGAGAGCUGGUCAGCCGCCAGCCACACAAAUCACAAUGGUGGCCUUGCUUUUGAUGCAUAUAUAAACACGCGCUAGAGAACAAAUGAUGUUGCUCUGUGCUGAUUUCACAGAGAAAACGACGCCUACCUGCACGCAACAUGCAUGUGAUCAACCCCUCCGUUAUCAUAAUUAAUGUAUGUAUCGAUCACAAUCACAGGCCUGAUCAGUCAAUCAGAGCUUGAUUCCAUGGAGUAAAUAAUCAACCGCACGUACGUCUCUCUCUUGGGAUCUUGCCCCUUGGAGGCCACGACGAUGAACCGCACAUGCUUUGUUGCAUUUUCAUAUGUAGGAGAAUACCAUCUUGCCAUGCACCCAUUGGAUCGAUGGCAUCGCAAGAUCAGUCAACUUGUCUCAUGAAUAGUCGGCGACAAGCAUAACAUGCAUGUAUGCAUGCUGGAUGGUAGCUGUAGCAAUGGACGGUGGAGGACGGUGCAUGGCUGCUAUAGCCUUGGUAAUUAAGUAACUCAAGAACAGGAGGAUGCAUGCUACGAACAUGGACGAUGGCUACUCCGUUGUCGGUACCAGUGCAACCAUACAAGGGAGCAUGGCUGAUCAAACUCUUCUUCUCUUCUGCUCCUUCGACCCGUCCCAUUCAAUUCAACAGGAGCGUCAAAAGGUUUUCUCCCUUUGUCUCUCCGGCGAAAUAGAUUUUCCACACCUUCCACGCGUGUUGUGGAGUGGUUGCUCGGCAUUAGCUUUGUGAUGACAGCUAGUUAGCACUGGAAAAAUGCGUCCGACAUUUAUAGACUAGGAAUGUCAUGCCGUCGCCGUACACCAUUCGUAGGCAUAAAUCCAUAAAGUACAGAAUGACUUAAGAAGAUGGUGUAGGGAUGAAGGUGAUGCAUUCAACAGGACAAACAGUGCAUUUUGGGAGGGGGCUGCUCACAGCUUGACUUCUUCUGUUUUGACUUUAUAGUUUUCCUUUUCUGUUCCUUUUAUGCUUUUCGAUUUCACAAACAUUUUGAACAUCACGAAUAUUUAACUAAUUUGUAUGUUUUUCUAAUUUGUGGAUAGUUUCCCAAACAACAUGAACAUAUUUUAAUUUGAGAACUAUUUUCAUAAUAUACAUACUUUUUGAAAUUUGAGAACAUCGUCAACAUUUAUUGACAAUGGAAUCAACAGUAUUAUAAAAUGUUUUAAUUUUUUCAAAAAAUGUUUGUUUAAAUACUCGAUGAACAUCAUUUUUUAUACAUGAUUUCUAUUUUUCAUAUACUCGGUGAAUAUGAUGCAAUUAUGUGGUGAACGUUUUUCAAAACUGGAGGAAUAUUUUUAAAAACAAACAGUGAAAUUUUUCUUAAUAUAUGGUGAAAAUAUUUUAAAUAUAUCAUGAACACUUUUUUAUAAAAUUAUAUAAUUUUAAACCUUUUUUAAUGAAUUUUCAAAAGUGUUCGUGCAACUGGAAAAAAAUGUUCACGCAUGUGUUAAAAAUAUAUUAUAAUUUUGUAAGUAUAAAUAUGUAUUCAUGUGAUUAAAAAUUCAUUCGCAUUUUUAAAAACAGAUUUCUUGCAUCAUGGAAAACAUGAAGUGAAAAACCGGAGGAAAAAACUAGAAAAAGAAAUAAUCAAGUGUAAGUAAAAAACCUGCAAAAAAGUGGGCCGGCUCCGUCAAUAGUAGCUCAUGUCUUUUCUUGAGAUCCCCUAAAAAAAUGUCUUUUCUUUAGAAAAUAAAAGCGCGACAGCUAUGUAUCACCUAUUGCGUGACCAAGUACCACAUCACAAUAGGCAAUCGCUAGGAUGGACCGGCCAGUAAAGCCUGUAUGUUUGAUCAAAAGGAAGCUUCUAUGUACAGUAGGCAUAUUUUUGGAACCUGAACCUUCUGCCUGGUUUUGGGAAGGUUUCGACAAGUUUUUCUUUUUCUUGGGUUUUUAUCAUUUAUGCCACUAGUUGUGUUUCACUACUCAGUUUUGCCACUACGAAUUUUAAUUGCUCAAAAAUGACAUCGCUUCGUUAGGCACAAGCUCAAAAAUGCCACCACACACCAUUAUUGUCAGCUUUAAUCUCAUUUGCCAUGCUAUAAUGACCAAAAUACCUAUAGACCAAUAUGUCAGCUCUCCUUCUAUCUCACUACAAUAAAGUGUGGGUCUCACUUGAUCCCAACAACGUUCUUAUUAAAAAAAUAUUCGCUUGCUUACUCCUGACAAGUGGGGUCCACACUUAUCAUUGUGAGAUACGAGAGCUGACAUGUGGGUAUAGAAGGAUUUUCAUCAUAUAACAUGGUCAACGAGUUUGACCUGACAAUAACUAUGUCUAAUGGCAUUUUUGAGUAAACAUCUAACGAAAUGAUGACAUUUUUUAGAUAUCUAAUGGCAUUUUUAAGGAAGCAUCUCAUUGAACAAUGUCAUUUUUGAGCAGUUAUAACUUUUAAUGGCAAGGACACAAAUAGUGGCAUAAAUGAUAAAAACCAUUUCUUUUUUAUCUAUGCUUUUAUUUAUCUGUUUUGCCAAUUUUCUUAUAUUUUUAAUUUUACUUCCAUUUUUACUUUAUCUUUUUCAUUUUAUCUUUUUUGAUUUAUUUUUUAUUUUUCACUUGUUUUGAAUAAUCAUACUUUUUAAUACACAUUGAACAUUUUCUGAGUACACGUUGAACAAUUUUUUAAAACAUGUUAAACAUUUAUCCUAAUACAUGUUGAAAAACUUAUCAAAUGCACACUGACUAUUUUUUAUAUACAAGUGAACAGUUUUGAUAUAUGCUGAAUAGUUUCCAAAAUACAUGUUAAUGUUUUUAACACAUGUUAAAUAUUUGUCAAAUGCGCGUUGAACAUAUUUCAUAUACAAGGUGAUUUUUUUAAACACACACGGAUUUUUUUCAUAAAUGUCAUGAAGAUUUUUGCGUAACGUGUGAAUAUUUCUUAAGUGUGUAUGAUUUUCUUUAAACGUCACAAGCAUUUUAUUAUAUGUUAUUGAACUUUUUUUAAAAAAAACUGCACAGACAAAAUUAUGGCGGAUCAUCUUGCUGGAUGGUAGCUAUAGGAGCGGACCGCGCAGGACAGUACAUUGCUCUAUAACGUUGGUAAUUGAGUAACUCAGGAGGAAGCGCUACGAACAUGGAUGAUGGCUACAGGAAUGACAGAAGGAGAUUUGAGUCUGCUACUCUAUUGUUGGUACCAAUGCAACGAAAGAAGUCCACAUCACCUCCUGUGGUUUCAGAAACCGACUAACCCACCCCCCAACUCUAAAACCAGUUAACUAAUCCCCUGAGAUAUCUAAUACCAGCCAAGGCACCCCCUAAUCCCAAUUAGAGUGGUAUCUGACGGUGGUUUUGCUUACGUGGCUCUACAAGAUGGCCACGUCGGCUUGGUAUUGUGGCGCAGGAGACUUAACUGCUCCUCCGGUUUGUUUAGGCCUCGUCUCCCAUAUUUCAGGGAGACGUGAUGAUCGCCGCUUGAAGGUAGCGGCGCGACGACUCCAGGAUUCCAGGUUAGGCGCUAAGCUCUUCCAUGCCCAGCACACACGUACUUCUCUGCGUGGACUGUGCAUUGAAACUUGCACACCUGCAAGGCUGCAACGACCCUUUCUGAAUUCAGAUGUCAGACGCCAACUAGAUAGUCCUCGAUCAGUUUGGUGAUUAGUACUAACGACCCUUUGCUGGAUUUAACAGUUGAUAACCCAGGUUGAUGCCUGUCUGCAUGUACUCUAGAAGUAAUCAACAUUUGCAAAAUGCCCUGUGUAUUCCAGGAUGCAUGCAUACCUUUAGCAUGAGCGGGACGGGAGCAUUUUAAAUUUUGGAAUAGACUAGACUCAUAUAAACUCUGUUACAUACAUUUUAGAAAUUUGUAAGUAUUGAGAAGCAAUAAUAAUUUGUGCUGCUGCACUCAUUUUAACAGCACGGUUUUAUGCUUGACUGUACAUUAAUUUAGAGGUUGACUAUUGAAACAGUUCAUAUCCAGAGGGCUUAUAUAUGUGUGAUUUGUCACGGGUUUGAUUGCAUAGGGAUUCAAUCUUAUAUAUGUCCAGAGCGCUUAUAUAUGUGUUGUAUUUGCUGUUAUUUCGCAGGUAUGAAACCACUCGGUUAUCUAUCUGUCCGGCAGGCAGAACAGGGAGAGAGACAACGAGAGGAACAAUGUUCAGAAGAGAAGAUAAAUUUAGAGGAAUGUAGAGGAGAUGCAUGAGGUAGCUGAAGAUGCACAUGUAUUUCAUCGGCCCCGGAAGUUGCCAGUUUCUAGGAAGGUUGUGAAGGGAAGUAGGUCCAUAACAGGAAAAUCAAAGGUGGCUGAAGGAAAAAGAAACAAAGGGGUGGAGAUGAAUCCACAAGCAGUGAUAGUGAUUAUGAGGUUGAUUUAGAAGAAGAAAAUAGUUCUGCUGAUGAUGAAGAAGCAAUUGAAUUCAGAAAAUAUGCAAGGGACCUCAAGAACAAGGUCAGGAACAAAAUGCUUGGAGAAGAGGAUGAGAAAGCAGUUGAUGUGCCAGAGGAUUUCCUUGUCCCAGAGGAUUGCAAGCUUGAUGAUGGUGAUGGUGAUGUGACACCUUAUUUUGACAGCGUAGAUGAUUUAUCUUAUGAUGAAGCAAGUGAUGGGGAUGACAUGCCUAAGAGGAAGAAGACGGAGCACAUAGUUUAUGAUAGCACUUCUGAAAUUCCUUUAUUCUCUGUUGGUAUGGCCUUCCAUGACAGUAGGGAGUUCAAGAAUGCAUUGGUCAAGUAUGGACUGAAAACAUAUCACCACUUGUUAUUUCCAAAAGAUGAGAAAAAGAGAGUAAGUGCAAAAUGCAGUUGGCCUGGCUGUCCUUGGAGUAUCUAUGGGUCCAUUACUAGCAGGCCUGAUUGGUUGCUAGUAUGGAGGUACAAUAAUGAGCACACAUGCAUUCCAAGAAGGGACAACAAACUGGUCACAUGUGGUGUCAUUGCAAAGAAGUAUUUUAGGCAAAUCAGGGACAAUCCAUCAUGGAAGGCAGAGCAUAUUCAACAAGCUGUUCUUCAGGAUCUAGUAGCUGAUGUGUCCAUCUCCAAAUGCAAACGAGCAAAGAAACUUGUUAUGGAGAAGAUAAUUGAUCUAUCUGAUGGUGAGUAUGCUCUGGUUUAUGAUUAUCAGCUUGAGUUGCUUAGAAGCAACCCCGGUAGCACUAUCGCAGUGACAUUAAAUCCAGAAAUUCUUAACAUCAAUGUGUUUGAAAGAAUGUAUAUGUGUUUAGAUGAUUGCAAGAAAGGAUUUCUUGCAGGAUGUAGAAGAGUGGUGGGGCUAGAUGGAUGUUUUUUGAAGGGUGCAUUCAAGGGGCAGUUGCUUUGUGCAAUUGGCAGAGAUGCGAAUAACCAGAUGUAUCCAAUAGCUUGGGCAAUAGUAGAGGUUGAGAGCUAUGAGUCCUGGUAUUGGUUCAUUGGGUUUCUUCAAAAAGAUCUCCGGAUAUAACAAUGGCGAAGGAUGGGUUUUCAUCUCUGAUCAAUAGAAAGUGAGCUAAAUUUUUGUUACUCAUAUUUUUGUUAUUACAUAUAUGAUACAGAAUUAAUUCUCUUACUCUCCUAUUGUCCUUAUGGAUGUGAGAUUAUUUGCUUAUGCCAAUUUUUUAUUUCCUUAUGCUAAUUGGAGAAAAGAACACAGGGACAAGGUCUUUCAGAAAAUGUUCUGGGCAUGUGCGAAGUCAUCAGAUAGAAGCCAAUUCAAUUACAACAGGGCUAAGCUUGCACAAAACACAGUAGAAGGUGCGAGAGACAUGAUGAAAACCGCGCCAGAGCAUUGGUGUAGGGCCUUUACUUUAGGAUUGACUCUUUAUGUGACUCAGUUGAGAACAACAUGUGUGAGUCAUUUAAUAAUGCCAUCAUGAGAUCAAGGUUCUACCAUGUAGUAACGGCAAUGGAAAUCAUUAGAAAGAAGGUCACUGUGAGGAUCCAACAAAACAGAGCAAAGUCUCAGAAGUGGCAUGGAACCAUUUAUCCAAAUAUUUUUAAGAAAUUGAAGGUCAACAUUGAGAGACCCGCUAGGUGUCAAGUGUUGUGGAAUGGAAAGGAUGGGUUUGAAGUACAGGAAGGUGAGCACAGGAGAUACACGGUAAAUCUAGAAAACUGGACAUGUUCAUGUAGAUAUUGGCGGCUUUCUGGCUUGCCUUGUUGUCAUGCAGUGAGUGCAACCUACACCUGCUCGAGAGAUUUAGAUCUCUACAUUUCACCUUGCUACUCAAUAGCUGAGUACGACAGAAUUUAUGAUCAUGUUCUUCAGCCUGUGAAUGGACCAGAAGAUUGGCCAAUUUUUGAAAAACCUAGACCUCUUCCACCUAAGAAAAGAACUCAGAAGGUAGGCCCCAGAAAAAGAGAAGGCAGGAAGAAGGAGAGAAACCUAGGGACCCAUCAAAAAUGUCAUGUGCAGGCACUCAGGUCACAUGUUCAAGUUGUGGAACCCAGGGGCACAACAAAAGAAAAUGUACUAACAACAAUACUGCCGGCAAUAAAGAGCAUGCAAACUUCACAAGAGCAGCUACAAGGAGAAAGGAUAAACAAGCAAGAACAGAGGUGGCCCCUUUCUCUCUCCUUUUACUUGCAUUUUCUUCCUAACAUGUGCAAAUGUGCUCACAUUUUUUUUCAAUACUGCAAACUCAUGUCCCAUCAACACAAGAGAGUUCAGCUCCUGGUCCAUCAUCAAAGCAAGCUCCAUCUAAGCCAGCAAAUAGGAAGAAGAAGGUCUCAACUUCACAAAAUAGUCCUUCCACUGCACCUUUCUAUGGGAGAGCAAAGAAUAGAUCUCAGCCAAUGCCAAACCAAUCGGGAUUCCAAUGGUGGUUAUAUGACAAUAAUUGAACUGCUAGUUACCUAGUUACAUUCAAAUAAAUAUGAACUUUUGGUACAUGAUUCACUAUUAUGCAUGCUCUGGUUCAUGCUAUAUUAUGUAAAACUGGUACUGGUAGCACUUGUUCCCUGUUAUGUGCCACAUGUACUGUUUUGCGAUGUGGGCAUGACUUGUUCUUAUGUGAUUUCACUGCUGUGUUUAGAAAAAUGCAUUCUUCCGAAGUAAAGCUGAAACAGGACAGAUAAUUGUCGUCAUGUCUUGUUUAUUAAUUCUGCUAUUGCCAAUUUGCAAUAAUGAUGGAAAAUGUAAAUAAGAUGUUGCCAAUUUGCAACCAUGAUAGUUACAACAACAGAGUACUUCCAAUUCACAAAAGUUUUCAUUCAUGUCACAAGAAAAUAUUGCAUUCAUAUUACAUAUAUUGGUGCAUAUGCAACAGUCUGUACACUCAGAAGUACAUUCCCUAAAUAAAAUGCUUUAUCUGAAUUCUCUUUUCUCAACUAAACUGGGACAACAACACCAGCAAGAGAAGAUAACAUUUUUACAAGUACUAAUUCUCAAUCUCAACUUCACUGAAUUCUCUCUUCUAAGAGCAUUAGUACAUGCCUCUACAAAGAGUAUAAUAUACACCAUUUGGGCCCCUUGAAUGAUUCUGUGUGUAGUUUUCCUGCAAUUAUGGAUGCUUUGAGCAGGUUUCAGUUUCAGGCUCUGCCAAUCAAGGUCUACUUGGAUCAUCUAGGAGAACAACUUGGUGAAAUUGUUAACCUUCUUGCCCUCUCCAACUGCAACGUGUGACCUGCGUCUCUGAUGAUCUCUAGUCUGGAUUCCUUUCCUAUAUGCCUGCACUAACCAACAAAAAACACGACCACUGUUAUUCUCUUUUCCUUUUGAAGAAAGGCUAUGUUGUUAGUAUCAUACAGGAUUCAUGUAAGCUAAAUUACCACUCGCAUUUUACCUUUAUAGUUUGUAGGAAAAAUCGAUGGGGAACACCUAGUCCUUGUCUCCCUUGUAAUACAGAAAACAAAUUGAACCAACGACGCAUUCUACUUGUAAAAAAAUCCCAACGAAAGCAGAACAGGGCAUUGACUUCAAAAAAGCUUAAAAUUCAGUAUACCUGCAUCUGUACUGUCCCAAUUAAUACUCACGAUGUACAUCGAACAGGAACUCCAAGAUGAGAUUGCGCUGCUCCAUUGAUCCAUGGCGAGGGUGGUCCUUGUUCAGGGAGCUUCCAGGUCAUGGGAGAAUGAGGGAUCGGGGGAGGAGAGGGGCGGCCAUGGCGGCGAAUAGGGGAGGAGAGGAACCAGAGAACAAAAAAACGACUAGUUUCAGCGGGCGACCAUGGCGACGAACAAGGCAAGAGGAAGGGAUGAACUAUCGGAUUGGGGAUUGGGGAUUGGAUGAAUUAGGAACAGCCGCCGGCCCGUGCUGAUAUCUCCCGCGCCACAGUACCAAGCCGACGUGGCCACCCUGUAGAGCCACGUAAGCAAAACCACCGGCAGAUACCACUCUAAUUGGGAUUAGGGGGUGCUGGUAUUAGAUAUCUCAGGGGAUUAGUUAACUGGUUUCAGAGUUGGGGGGUGGGUUAGUCGGUUUCUGAAACCACAGGGGGUGAUGUGGACUUCUUUCCAAUGCAUCUAUGGUUAGAGCAUCUCCAGCCGCGCUCCCAACAGGCCCUCCCCAGGCGUUUUUGCCGCGUCGGCGCCGAAAAAAUGGCCCAGUCGCGCCCCCAGAAGCCCGUUUUUCGCCGGCUCGGGCUGAAACUGGUGCCGGCGAACCUAGGCCGAACCCGGCGCCCUAGGGGGGCGCCGGCACAAGCGAAAAGGGCGCGUGGGUCCGCCCUGUCGGCGAGUCGAGCGCCUCUUCCCGCCGUUUCUUCCCGCUUUUUCCCCAGUUCCCUCCCAUUCUCUCCACUCCUCCUGCCAAUCUCCCUCCUGCUCGGCUCCCAGCCGGCCGCCAUGCCACCGAAGAGGUACGUCGUCCCCCGUGCCGCGGCAACCGCGAUCGCCUCCGUCGCCCAGCCGAAGCAGAGGAAGCCGAGGGCACCGCCGUCCAAGCCACCGGGCAUGACAAACGCCGAGUGGAGGGCGGAAGUUCAGCGACGGGAGGCUGUCACCGCCGACCAGCGGAACAGGGCAAUCGCCAAGAAGGCCCGUGACAACGCGGCGCGUGCGGCUGCGGCUUCGGCGGACCAAGCCGAGGCCGAGGCGACUCGUGCGGGGAUGAUGAAUCCACCCGGCAGCCACACCCAGUACGCGCCCUGGAGCCAGCAAGGCGUCGGCUCUCUGUGGGGAUGCACGCCCUCGCCGGGCUACGCCGACGGGGACACGCACGGUGGGUGGACACCCGGCCCAGCGCACGCCCUCGCCCGCCUUCGCCGGCGUGCAGUACCCUCCAUACAACUACUCGCCGCCCGCCUACGCGUCCUCCCCGACGCCCACUCUCCGCCAUGGCGCGCUGCCCUUCUCGCACCUCGGCGACACCGACGACAUGGACGAUAUCAUCGCGACAGGCUCGGCCGCGGCCGCCGCGUCUCCCGGGUUCGUCACUCCGGAGGACACGGUGGAUUUCAGCGGCGGCAUGGACGGCGAGCUCGGCUACGUCUACGGCGAGGAGGAGCAGGAGGAGGAGGACGAAGAGGAGGAGGAGGAGGAGGAGCCGGCGACUGUUCCGGCGUGGAGGCGCAAGAAGAAGAAGCGGGCGGCCAGGUCCGGCGAGCCGCGCAUCAAGUGGGCGUCCAAGGAGCCGGAAUGCCUCGCCGAAGCAUGGAAAGUCGUCUGCCUCGACCCGACCACCGGCACGAACCAGAGCAUCGAGACGACUGGGAGCGCAUCAAGGCUGAGUUCGAUGAGCGCAAGCUCGUCGACCCCUACUUUAAAGGCGUCUACAUGCAGCGCGGGGCGAAGGCGAUGGCGAACCAUUGGGGGCUCAUCCAGGGGCCGUGCAACAAAUGUCAUGGGAUCGUCGAGGAGGUCGUGGCUCGCCCGGAGACCGGCGCCAGCGUUGAGGAUCAGGUAUGGCAUGCCGGUCUCCCGCCUCUCUUCGCCGUGUGCAUCCGCCAACUGUUUGUUCCUCCGCGCAAUUGCUGCGCAUGUUCGCCAUGUAUCGGCAGGGCAACAGCGACGCCGAAUUCAAGUACCUCCACGUUUACAAGCGCAUUGACAAGUGCGAGAAGUGGGCGGAAGUCCGGCGCACCCUCGACAAGGCCAAGGAGACCUACAAGCCGGACGCACAGACUCGGGGCGCGUCAGAAGGGCGGCCGGACGGCAACAAAGGUGCCAAGAAGGGGAAACACGCCGACGUGGCCACCACUCGGGUGCGGGAGUCCAUCGAGCACUGCCUCGCCGACGCACAGGCCCGGGCCGCCCUUCGUGAAGAGAAGACCGAGGCGUGGCGGUCGGCGUUGAUGUCGAGAAGCGCCGUCAAGCUCGACCUACUCCGGACCAACGUCGCCGCGAAGAAGAGAAACACCGACCUGGCUUUCCUGCUGGGCGGGCGGGACAUGCUCCAGAGCAACGAUGAGGCGGUCAAGGCGUGGUACUUGGCGCAGCGUGGCCUCAUCCUGAACCAGCUUCCCUCGACGACGCCGCCCACGCCGACGUCACCGCCAAGCCCGAGCGAUGAUGCCGCCGAGACUCCCCGCAGCACAGAAGCCACGCCGACGCCGCCCAGCACAGAGACCCCGCCAAGCCCGCGCACGCCGACUCCGUCGACGCCGGAGGCCGACCUCGCCGUCUGAUGCGCACGCGCGUCCUUUCUUCUUUUUGUACGCCGAACUUUUCAUUCGAUCGCCGAACUUGUGAUCGCUUGAUUGCCGGAUUUGUGGCCUCUAUUUUGUGAGCGGGAAUGAGCCUACGUUUGAAUUUGCCGCGGUGCCUGGGGGCGUGGCUGGGAGCUAGGUCGCCCCCAGGGGCCAAUCUAGCGCCGGUUCACCCCCAGGCCGCUCUUUUUCGGCGCCCUGGGGGGCUGAAUGGCUGGAGAUGCUCUUAGGGAGCAUUGCAGAUCAAACUCGUCUUUCUCUUCUGCUUCCUGUCGAUCCAUUCCAUUAUAUAGGGCGACAAAAGGUUUCUCCUUUUCUCCGGCGAAAUUGUAUUUUCACAGCUUGGAUGCAUGUACAUGGUGGAAGUAAUUGCACACGGUUUAGGUCAUCUUCAACGCGGACCCCUCAAAUAGCCCGUAAUUAUAAUUGUGUACGGGUGGGCAUGCAAUUGAACUUGCUCAAACAUGUAAAUAUAGUUACGCGGGGCAUGAAAAACCACAAAAAGUUAAAUACAUAAAUUGAUCAAAUAAAAAAAUGAGAUAUAAAAAAUACGCAUGAAUCUCCUCGUAAACCCAGACAGCGCACGACCUAUGUGAGAUUUAAUUAAUUCUCAUCUAGUCGAGAGCUAGUAAAUACCCAUCAUUUUUUGGGUAGUACUCGCAAUGUUCUUUUCGAGUUUUCAAAAAUACCUGCCUCCAUGGGGUGAAAUGGCACCUUAUAGUACCAUAGACCAUAAAAUGUACACGCCCAACAAUCAAGGAAUGGGGAGACUACAUGGUAGGCCCACAUUCAGUCACCAAAUAAAACCCCUACAUCAUUUCUUUAAGAUGUUAGCGUGUACAGACAUACUCUGUCCGUUUCUAAAUAUAAGACAUUUUUUAUAUUUUAAUAUAGACUACAUAUGGAUGUAGAUGUAUAUAGACGUACCUUAGAUUAUAGAUUCACUCAUUUCGUAUGUAGUUCGCAUUGUAAUAUCUAAACAGGCAUCGGCAACAAAUCUCGGCGACGAUCACAACGGUGACCAUGCUUUUGAUGCAAAUACUAAGAGUUUAAAACCUGAGCUAGAGAACAAAUGAUGGCUGCCACCUGGAUGGCUGCAUGCAUCAUGCAUGUGACGGGCCCGACCUGGCCUAGUACGUACUAGCCUCGGUUCUCUUAACUGGAGGAGGGACGUACGUACGUCUCCCUCUUGGUCUUGGACAUCACCACAUGCUUAUUGCAUUUUAAUAGCCAACUAGUGGGAAUUUUUUUAGCUGCUACUCCCUCCGUUCCAAAAUGUAAGUCUUUUUAGAGAUUUCAACAAGUGGCUACAUAUAGAGCAAAAUAAGUGAAUCUAUAUUCUAAAAUUGUCUACAUAUAUCCGUAUGUUGUAGUCCAUUUGAAAUGUCUAAAAAGACUUAUAUUUAGGAACAGAGGGAGUACAUUGGUCAAGGAAGACACUGGCUCUGCAUGUGCAUUUCUGCACCCAUAUAAUUGAGUAGUAGGCCUGGAUGAUAGCUGCGUGAACGACAGAGGUCUGUGGGGUAGGUGAUCGAGGAGGACCCUGCUGCUGAAUGUUGAAAUAUACUGCCUAUCUUUCUUCAUCAACUUUUAAAGCAAUUGACUGGAAUAUAAAUUCAAUAUUAAAUGCGUGGGUGAUGGCCACAACAACGAACGAACGGAGGCUAAUUCACGUUACUCCUUGGUCUCGUGCCUACCCAUCAGACACUGUAAGUGUUGUUCAUGUGUCAGAGUUGAACCCAUACAUGAGCAAUGAGGCCAUAGGAUUUGUUGUCUGGCUUUGUGUUUCCUCUAUGAGCCAGGUAAAACCACAAGGGGAAAAUGGCAGAAAAGCUAGGAUGCCGGCCGCCUUUUGUACAGUUGUACCAACGGGAAAAAAGUUUUCCUAAACAACUUUACGCCCAACAAACACAACGGCACCAAUGAAGUAAACGAUUAGGAGAUUGUUUAAUAAGAUAUUCGGUCGAUAGGGAGAGCUGGUCAGCCGCCAGCCACACAAAUCACAAUGGUGACCUUACUUUUGAUGCAUAUGUAAACACGCACUAGAGAACAAAGGAUGUUGCCCAGUGCAGCAGUGCUGAUUUCACAGAGAAAACGAUGCCUACCUGCAUGUGACCCCGGCCUUCGUUUUUUAUUAACAUAUCGAUCACAAUCAUAGGCCUAAUCAGCCAACCAGAGCCUAAUUCUAUGGAACAAAUAAUCAACCGUACGUCUCUCUGUUGGGAUCUUGCCUCUUGGAGGCCAAGACGACGCACCUCUCUCACAUGCUUGCUGCAUUUUCAUAUGGAAGAGAAUACCAUCUUGCCAUGCAGCCACUGGAUCGAAGGCAUCGCAAGAUCAGUCAAUUUGUCUCAUGAAUUGUCGGCGACAAGUAUAACAUGCAUGCAUCCAUCGCAACGCAAGAAGAGUCAAAUUGUUUCAUGCAUUGCCGGUGAGGUAACAUGCACGCAUGCAUGCUGGAUGCUUAGCUGUAGCAAUGGACGGUGGAGGACGGUGCAUGGCUGUAUAGCCUAGGUAAUUAAGUAACUCAAGUAGAGGAGGAUGCAUGCUACGAACAUGGAUGGAUGAUGGCUACGGGAACGACAGAGGGAGAUCCGUAUCUGCUACUCUGUUGUCGGUACGAGUGCAACUAUGCAAGGAAGCCUUGCAGAUCAAACUCUUCUUCUCCUCUGCUCCCUUGACCCGUCCCAUUCAGUUCAAGAGGGGCGUCAAAAGGUUUCUCCCUUUGUCCGGGGAAUAGUUUUCCCACACCUUCCACGCGUGUUGUGGAAGUAACCGGACGCGCUUUAUUAGUUUCGUGAAGGCCGCUAUUGUUUUUGACACGGUACAAACGCAGACGUUUAUACAACACAUAAUACACUCACCCCGACGAACGGGCAUAUAUACGCACACCGUAUCACUAUGAGCAUGUCGGAGAGACUGAGCCGGCACAUCAUUUUAAGAUUGACAAACAUGGAUGAAAUGUAACAUGAGUACUAAGCAACGGCGGAGCUACGUCGUAUGCUGCAGGGGCCAUGGCCCCUCCAGCCAGGGUAAAUUAUGCAAAAGAAAGGGAAAAUAUGGAGGGGAAAAUUAGGGAAAAUAUGGACUUUUGCCCCCCUCAAUCAUCCCUAUUUUCUGCUUUGCACCCCCAAAAGAUUUUACUUAGCUCCGCCAGUGGUACUAAGCAUGUCAUGGCGUGACCGUGGAGUGGCUACACCGUUCAUACACAUCAAAGCACAAUUUUGACUUACAAAGAUGAUAUCUUUUUCUUUUGUGGCGGCAGACAAAGAUGAUGUCUUCAACAAGACCUACCGUGAAGUGCACCAUGCGUUGAAGCACCACUGCGAAGUGCCACCGUGGGCAGCUCAGAUAAAUCCAUCCGGCAAGCAUAUCUUCUAUUAAUGUGCUAAGGGCAAAUCCGACGAAGAUCACCAAGUGGACAUAACAAAAUGUCCGUGGACAGGUCCGGGCGUGUCCGCGAACGGUGGUCUGGGCUCCGGCCAUCCAAUCCCAGUCACCCGAUGUCCGUUCGUUCAUUUUUUUUCUAUGUGCAAAGUACAUUGCGCAAUUCUUCAGAUAAUUGGGAAAAUAUCCCAGUACAACAAAUAUCACAAUUCUUCUAACUAAAACUAAUUGAUGUACCAGACGAUGACCUCCGCCGUCGUCCGAGGCAUCGUCGCGAAAUGGAGCAAGUGGUCGCCAAUACGAGUUAUGUGAGCGAAGUCUCUCAUCCUUCUCAUAUGGGAGGAGAGACUUCGCUCACAUUUAUGGUUACCUUUGUUGUUGUUGUUGUUGUUGUUGUUGUUGUUGUUUGCGUGAAUAUUAUUUGGUGUCAUCAUGUAUUUACAGAAUAUUUAUUAAUUUUAUUUCCUAUAUAAUAAUUCAAUUAUAGCCACACAUUGUACGAAUUUUUAUUUGAUGCAUACAAAACAAAGCACUAUGCAAUUCCAUUGUUUGUCAUCAAAACAUGAUUUGGUAUUGGAACCUCACCCAGAUUCCAUGAGCAUCCAAAAAAGAAAAUUCGUAUUCAUGUUCACUACAAUUUCAUGGCUGAAUUGGAAAACCAAUUCAAUAUGGAGGCCUCAAAUACGAACACCCAAACGCAACAUUAAGUGGUAUCACUAACAAAUAAUGUUCGCAUGCUCCUAAAUUUUUGGAGCGGUAAAAAUUAAACUAGAAAAUAUGUAAUUAAGAGAUGACAUCUUGUGGAAUUGAUAUAAUUGUCUUAUCAUUAGUAUUAAGAGAUUUCCUUAUCAUUUCUCUCUCUCUUGCAACUCAAGAAUUAUCCUGGAUGGCAUCCAUAAUAUAUGAACACUGCAUAUCUUUAGUGCCACAAGGCCAAAUAAAAUAAAGAAUAAAUUCCAGGUUUUACCUCCUAUUUUGAAAUUUCGGACGCUAAUUAUCUCAUUUUACAGUUUUGCAUGUGGAUUAGACCAUUUAGCUCCUGUUUUUACACAAUUUAGAGAAUGAUUUAUUAGUUUUACCAGUUGUAGCGAAUAUUUUUCCAGUUUUACCCCUUUCAGUUAUCGAGCGUGGUAUGCUAGGCUGGCCUCCGCUGCCACUAACACCAGUCUGCCACAUCGCGAUUGUCCUCCUUGCAUUUUUUUUUCUCGCGCUUGAUCUAGUUCGCAGCCCUAAGUCAGACUUGUCCACUCACCCGCAAGCAAAUGUUUAGGAGAACCAAAAACAUGAUGCAGCUUUUAUGUGUGUAUGAGAAUCAUACGAGAAAAAAACUAUGUACGAGUAAGCCAUUCGACGCAUUCAUGCAUAGAGAAAAAAUCUACAGAAAAGUAUGACAUCGCAUGCUACAUGUACCGACUUCUCAGACACACUAUAACAUCGAUGUUGAAAAUCUAAAUGGGGUAAAAACUGGCCAAACUUUCGCUAAAUGAGAUAGUUUAGAUGAAAAGAUGCUAAAUAGUAUAAUUUAACGUCACAACUUCCAAAGUAAAAGUAAAAACUAGAAUUCAGUCUAAAUAAAUUAUAUUUCAUUAUAUUUUAGAACAUCCAUUUCAUAUAUAGUACCUCUUGUCUUUAUUGUGUUCUUCAAAUUCCAAAUAGUUACUCCCUCCGUUCCAAAAUAUAGUGCUUACUCUAUUUUCGUGCUUCAACUUUGACCAUAAAUUUAACCAACGAGACCAACUGCGGCGGGAGCAAAAGUUAUACCAGUGAAUUCGUAUUCAAAGAAGUUUUCACUAAUAUAUUUUUUUCUCCCGCCGCAGUCGGUCUCCUUUGUCAAAUUUAUGUCAAAAUUGGACCUCGGGAAGCACGGGUGCACUAUAUUUUGGAAUGGAGGGAGUAUGACAUCCAUGAGCCCACCUUGAUCUACGUGAUACCAAACAAACAAUGCUUGACCCAAGCAUGGAUAAGGCGUUUUUAUCGGCAGGAACGGGCCUUAUAUUCCAUCUUUUUGUUCGCUCAGACCCGUAGCCCAUUGGACCGCCCCCCACACGCAUGAACCAUCAAAAAAUAAAAGUGAUCCCACUAAAAAAAGUGAACUACAUAAGAAUUGUGCGCAACUUCCAGAUCUCAUCUACUGUGACCGAACGACGGAGAAAUCGUAUUCGGUGCUUGCCGCGCCAAAUAGCACCGUUUUUGUACGCAGCACACAUGUACUGGGCCGGUCCAUAGAAUGUUCUUUUUUCUUUGAUUCCAGUUAUUUUUCCUUUUUGUGUUUUUCUUCUGAGUUUAUUUUACAUUUUUUCCUCUUUAUUAUUUUACAUUUUCCUUUUUUGUUCUCAUUUAAAAAUUCUUGUUUUUUGCAAAUUUGGAUUCACGCAUUUUUUUCAAAUUUGGCUGGUUAUUUAAUUCAUGAAUUUUUUAAUCCGUGAAGUUUAAAAGAACAUUUAAAGUUUACAUUUGUGAGUUUUUAAAAAUAUUGAAAUAUUUAAAAAUUCACACAUUGAACCAUAAUAUCUCACGCAGGUCCUCUUGCAGAGCCGCAUGUAGGCUCAAGCGCCGCUGCGGUGCCCGCUUGUCACACAUGGUCUCGCCGGACGGGAUCUUGGGGAGGGCUGGUGAGAGAGGCAAAGAGGGGAGAGAGAUACAGAGAUUUCUUGUGUCUUUUUUUGGGUUGGGUCCAACCUGUAGAGAGACGUGGAAUUUUUCUAUAAAAAAAUUGUGCACAAAACGUCUCAUAGACAGUCAAACCCCUUUGGCCGGAUGGAAAUGUCACGAAAGGACAUUUAUAUCAGGGAACCAAAUCGCAAAGGGGCAAAGUUGAGCAGUCUUUGAAAUUAGGAGUAUAGCUAAGUAGUGAGUUCGAGUUGAGGGCUGAAAUAAAUUGAACCAACUUUUUUUUUCAAAUAUGAAAUUUUUUCUUCGAAUGUCAUCAUUUUUAAAAUGCAUGAAAAUUAUUCAAAUCCACGAAUGUUAUGGAGAAAUUCAUGAAUAUAUUUUUUAAUUCACGGACAUUUUUCAAAUCUGUGAACAUUUUUAAAUUUAUGAACUAUUUUUCCAAUUCGACAUUUUUUAAUUUCACCAUUUUCGUGGAUUUUGUAAGCAUUUUUUUUUUGUUUUUUGAAUUCACAGACAAUCUUCGAACCAGUGAAGAAUUUUCUAAAAUUCGUGAUUGAUUCAAAUUCAUUAGAAAAUAGUAGCUGUUUCUUCUAAACCAACGAGCGACAAAAGAAAAGAUCAAGCAAGUGACCUUACGUCGACCAGUGUGCGAUGAACUCCCAUUAGAGCUUCAGCCUAAGAAUGUCCGCGCGUGCAUUGCAUGGCAGAGUGGCGGCUGAAGCGCUAAAAAGGAGCUCCCUGAAAGACAACUCUCCUCUGGUGCGCCCAGAAGGAGGUCUACCAAAUAACAUGCGCACCAUCACUUCCUACGAGCUGAUUUGGGAAAGCUUCUAUGGAAUGAUCUGGAACGAUGUUUGAAACUUCCACGUUUUUUCUUUUGUUCUGUGUGUUUGAUUUGUGCAUCGAAUUUAUUCUGGUUUUUUUGGUAUUUUUGUUUGCUAUUUUAUUAUUUUUUCUUCUUUUUAUCAAAGACAUGUCGACCCAUAUACACGUUGAAGCUUUUUUUCUUUGAACAUUUUUCAAAUACAUGUUGAAUCUUUUUGCGGGUAAAUAUGGGUUGAAAUUUUUAGUGUAAUACAUGUUGAACAUUGCACAUUGAGAUUUUUUUCUAUACGGGUAGAAUACUUUUGAGAUAAACGUGGAACAUUUGUCAAAUGCAUGUGGAACAUUUUGCUGAAUACUUGUUGAACAUUUUGUCCAAUGCACAUUGACCAUUCUAAAAUACGUGGUGAGCAUAUUUUAAACACAAUUGGCCAUUUCAGUAAAUGCCAUGAAGAUUAUUAAAAUUUUCUAAACCUUUUUAAAGCGUUACAAACAAUUUUUAAAUGCCACAAUUUUUUGAAUGGUACAAAGCUUUUUCCAGAAAUUAUAUGAACAAUAUUUUUACGUUUCAUAAAGUUUUGUAAAGAAUUCAUAACCAUACUUUUAAAAUGUUGAACAUUUUUUAGCUGUGAUGAACCAUUUUUUUUGAAUGCUAUCAGUUUUUGUAAAUAAUACGUGGAGGAUUGUUUUACAUUACAUUAACAUUUUUAAUGAGCGGUGAGCUUUUUUAUUGUAUGAACAAUUUGUUAAUACACUUUAGUUUUUUAAAACAUUUUUCAGACGAACAUUACAUUGAACAUUUUUUGACUGCAUGUUAAUCAUUUUUUUAGAUAACAUUGAUCAUUUUUUAACAUAUUUUAGUUUUUAUAAAUAUAUGUUAAAUUUUACAUAUACAGAUUGAACAUUGUUUUAGUGCAUGUUGAACAUUUUUUAAUACAUGUUGAUUAUUUUAUUAAAUAGUUGGGAAAAUUGCAUCAUUCAUGGGGAAGGUUUUUAUGUGUCACGAACAUUCUUACGAAAUUUGUCAAAUAAUCUUUACAUUUCAUAACAUUUAUUAUGAAUCACGUGAACAAAAUUUUAUAUUUGUCACAAGCAGUUUUAUCAAAUUACAUGAAAUUUUUUCUAAACAUGUGAACCAUUUUGAAUUUUAUGAACAUUUUUGAAAAGUACGUGAAUCUUGGAGCUGCCCCAAAAAAUUUGCAGCACAAUUAUAUGUAUAGGGUAACUGCUGGGCUGCUCUAUUUUACAUCACUUGUUGGUAGACCCUGGACAUGGACAGCCCGGCCUGAAAGCCUGACAUCCGGGCUGGGCUCGGGCUCAGCUGUUCUGCGUGAAGCCCGGCCAGAAAUCCCGAAAAUAAGCCUGAACAUGGCAUAAAUUAUUAUUUUAUUACAAAUAUAGGUACAAUAUAUAUGUUUAGUAUCCAAAAAAUUAAUAUUUUAAUAAAAAAAGUGUUAAUGUGUUUUGGGCCGAGCCAGGCUGGGCAUUGGCUUGGGAUUUUACGGUCAGGCUUUACAAAGGCCGGCCCGAACCAAGCCCGGCCCAGAGAAUGCCCAGUUGGAGAUGCUUUAACGUACCUGCUCAUUUAUGUGCCUGUAACUUUACCUCAAAAAAAAAAUUAUGUGCCUGUAAGGCACUUGUGAAUUGAUGCCUUAAGUUUGAUUGCCUGAUGUUGAAUAAUCAGUGAGGCUUUAUGAUUGGACUCUCAAGACAGUAGCUGGCCAUGAAAAUGAUGCACCAUCAUGGCAUCUAUCACAUGACCGUGAUCGCAAACUUGCUGGCGAUCGAAAAGGCAGACAUGCAUGUACCCAUCAGCGAUGCAUGCCGACGGCCAGCAGCCACCCGGAAUCGAAUGAAGCAACAGCGGUACAGAACAGUAAUAAACGUGGGUGGAAGGAAUCCAGCCCGGUAAAAACUGUCAAGACAAUAGUGAACCCGAUGGACAUCACGCGUGCGUGCGGGCCAUCGUUGCCGACUACAGCACACGGCGAUCGACGGCAGUGGCAGCGGUGCAACAGCAAUGCCGGGAGAUCCACACAAAAUCUGCCCUAAUAAUGCAGCUACAGUACCGGGGAGAAGCCAGCCAUGGAACGGCAUCGACGGAGGCCGUGAGCUCACCCGUCACCAUGCUGGCUGCCACAUCACGACUGACUGGGCUUUCACUUGCCUCGAUCGCUCGACGGCCAGGGAGGGGAGGGGAGCUGCUCCGUCGCUCUCGUCCCUCCUCCGGUCGGGUUGAGUCGUGCGUGGGUGUGCCGUCCCACCGUCCACGUGUGCGGUCCGCGGGGUCGCCUGGUGGCGGAUGCUGACUCGGCUCGCCUCGGCCGUGCACAUCAUGCGCACGUUCUCCUUUUCUUUUUCUGUUGUGAUUGACAGUGAAACGGGCAGGAGAGGUUCCAAACAUGCGUCCUCCCUUUUGGAUAUUUGAUUGAAGCUUUUCAAGAUGUCUUCUUCGACCUUUUUGGAGAUGCCGGCAAUGACGAUGGAGCCGCUUGCUGCAAAUAGUGAGCCGACCGUGGACGCACCACCCUACGGAGAAGACGAUCGACUUGUCAAUUUACGACGCGUCAACCUUGAUGCCGAGGCCAAGGCGUGGGAGGUGCAAAUAUAUAUUCCUUUUUCAUUUCAAUUUUUGAAACAUCUAUAGAUGUGUGCUCGCACGUUUGUUUGUUGCAUAUAUAAACCUAGCUAGUGCAUGCAACACUGCAUCUGCGUGAAUAUGAUUGAGCUGGAGACCCUCCCUGGACGACAGAGGUAUCUGUCUGACUGUGGCUGUGGGGUUGGUGGGGAGGGAGGGGAGGAGCCCAUGGAUGAAUUGAAAGGGACAGCAACGGCGGAGAGGCUAAUUCAUCUGUGGCUUGACCUUGAUAUUAUGGCAUCAAGUGACCACACCCUUCAUACAAACAGAUCUGCUGCUGUUUUUCUGGGGUCUCCCUCAUCUUUGCAGCUAUAGAGCUGCGAGAUUCUGCGGCUGCGUUUUGUGGUCUCUGGUGCAAAGGCAGGCGAUUUCCUGUUCCUUUGUGCUGGUAGAUCUAGUCCCUGAUGCUUCGGGAGGUUCAAGUGGUGUGUAGUCGGUUCUAGCCAGUCAGACUGCUUGGUUUUCUUAAUGAAAAUCAGGGCCCGUUCUACGUUGUGCUGCUCACAAAAAUUCGUUUGUCAAGUAUUUUCUUUUCGGAAUUCACGAGGUACGGCAUUUAGUUAUGGGAGCCAUGUAACUGUACUUUGAUUACGUCAGGUACGUAUAAGGGCAUGGCCCUAGGAUGAUGCCCCGUAAGCCAUGUAGGAUCGGGUAUCAAGAAAAGUAGGUUCGGAUGAUGUAGCGGGAUCCUCGGCAUGAGGCGGGUGCUUAGGAAGAAAAAUGUGGUCAGCUGCAUAAAGUUGAAAAAGUUAAAGCGGAGAGUAGUGAUGCAUGUGUGAUGGGAGUCUACUUUCUAUUCUUUGACGUGUUUCCCUUCUGAAGAAAAAUACAACAUGAUUGCUUUCCCCAAAAAUACAAAAUACAAAGAUUGCAUACAAAAUGAAUAAGAAAUUAGACAACUUGAACUUGAAAUAGUCACUUAUAUUUGGUGGUAGGCAUCCAUGCCCUUUUAAUUUACCCGUAAUUGAUUUACAGGUGACCAACAUCAUCUAAUUCAUCUUACUAAAACCAAAACCGGAACCAAAAACAUAAAUCAAGAUGACAGGUAGACUUGCUGGUGCUCCACCGCUAAAAAUCUGUCCAAGAUAAAAGGAAGCUCCACGGACCGAGCAAAAAAUCCAUUACUUGUUGUAAGUGAUCAGUCUAAUCGAGGACUACCAAGUCGGCGUCCGUGAAUAUCCGGUUGUACGACGAAUCCAUGUCGUGCACAAUGAGCUUCUCAGCGGUGAUGGUGGCGCUGGUGGCAUUGUUGAACAGGUAGACCCCCGCCGCCGCGUAAAUGGCCUCCGUCGGGUACGCCCUCGACGUCGCCGUCAUCCUCCC